UGAUGAGUAGGUGACAUUUAAGAUGCCAACAAACAUUAUGAUCAAUAUAAUAUGGGAUGGCCGGUUCUUGGAGACACUACUAAUAAAAGUCAAUGCAUAGAGAAAAAGGGUAUCUUUAUACUAUAAGUUACUUCAAUUUAUUGAUAGUUUUUGGAAGCCUCGGUUUUAAUUCAUCUUAUGUUACUUUUACUUAUUUUUCGGAUGACAUUUAAUUCUUUCUCUUCAAGUAAUGUAUGGUAAAGGUGACAAAGAGGAUGGAUGCAGCUACAUCCGUUUAAUCAACACUUCAACACUUUUCUCCCGUUUCAUCAUUUAACUAAUUUUUUUAGAAGACUUCACAUUAAACCCUACUCUUAAACCAUAUUUGAACCAUCAACCUGUUAUUGAAAUUUCCCCAUUAACCUAUCUAUCCGGAUUCACAGAGUACAAUAUAUCUUUAUUUGUAAUAGGAUUAGAAUACAAAAUUUGUUUACAUGGAGUGUUUCCUGUGUUAAUUAUGUCCCCAAGGUUAAUUUAAGAUGGGGAACACCCGAACAUCACCAAAAAAGUGGCUUUCCAUUGUCAAUUCUACCAUUUAUUUCCCUUUUCACCAUCCUUGUUGUCAUCGCUAAUACUAAUCGUUUUUUUUUUACUGAAUGGUAUGUUGCGAUGCAAGCUGAGUCACAAUUGGUGCCCUCCUAUAUGCUGGUUAACAUUGGUGGAGUAUUCCACAAGCUGGAUUCUAUUUUUACAAAGUGUUGCAUGUGCCAAGGGAUGCCAAAUUUACACUAAAAGCAAUAUGAUGGGGUUGUAAGAUACCUUGAGGCUUGAACUGAACGUACUUAACUAUUACAUUACUGGUUUUAAUUUGGAGGUUCAUGGUUUCUUUUGACUAUAAAUAGAGAGACAGGGAGUGUCAAUAAGCACCAAUUCAAUAUAUAGAUAAGAUAACAAUUGAGUAUAACUUUUUACAACAUAGCAGUUCAAAAUUUUUCGAGUUUCUUCUAGUCUGGGCUGCAAUGGCUCAGUCGAUGGUUUGUCAUGUUAUGUUAGUUGUGAUAUUCAUACUGGUGGCUCUUGCUGAGGCACAAACUCCACCAGGAAUUAACAACCCUAGCCAUGCAACUUGUAAGGACCCGAGUUACAAAGAAUGUCAUAAUUUGGUGCAUGUUUGUCCUAAGUUUUGUCCAGAUAGCUGCACUGUUAAUUGUCAAUCGUGCAAACCUGUUUGUGGUGGCGACAUUGCACCAUCACCACCAGUGUACACACCUCCAACACCAACAUUGAAACCCCCAACACCAUCGUCACCACCUCCCACCACACCUUCACCACCAACAGCGUCCACACCACCAACCUCUCCUUCUCCACCGAUAGAGCCCACACCUCCAACACCAACACCGUCAUCAUCACCACCUCCACCAACCCCUUCACCACCAACUCCCUCCUCACCACCUCCAACCACCCCUUCUCCACCAACAGAAUACACACCUACGACACCAACACCAUCCUCACCACCCCACACCACCACCCCUUCAUCACCAACAGAGUCCACACCACCAACACCAACAACAUCCAUACCACCACCCACCACCCCUUCACCACCAAUAGAGUCCACACCUCCAACAUCAACGCCAUCCACACCACCUCCCACCACCCCUUCACCACCGAUAUCCACAACUCCAACACCAACACCAUCCUCACCAACUCCCACAUCCCUUUCACCACCACCAGAGUCCACACCUACAACACCAACUUCAUCCACACCAUCUCCCACCACCCCUUCACCACCGACAUCCACAACUCCAACACCAACACCAUCCUCACCAGCUCCCACCUACCCUUCACCACCAAUAGAGUCCACACCUACAACACCAAGUCCAUCCACUCCACCUCCCACCACCCCUUCACCAACAACAGGGUCCACACCUCCAGCACAAACACCAUCCACACCACCUCCCACCACCCCUUCACCAACAACAGGGUCCACACCUCCAACACCAACACCAUCCUCACACGUGCCUCCUACAUGGUCUGCUCCACCUUCUAAAACAAAAAAAGUUAAAUGCAAAAACCAAAACUACCCAAAUUGCUACGCCUCCGAACAUGUCUGCCCUGCUUCUUGUCCUGGUCAAUGUGAAGUUGAUUGUGUUACUUGCAAGCCAGUUUGCAGUAAGUUAUUCAUAACUCUCAUUUUUCAUUUUAUUUAUAAAUACUAAAAAAAUCAUGUAUGUGAAGAUUCACAUUGACAUCAAAUUAUUGAGGUUUAAUUCCAUCAUUUACAAAUGCAUGCUUUAUGGUUAAAUAUUAGGUUAACACAACUAUCAUUUGAUCUCUAAGUGCUUCUAUAUUUGUCUUGUACAGAUUGUGAUAUGCCUGGAGCAGUGUGUCAAGAUCCUCGUUUCAUUGGUGGUGAUGGCAUCACUUUCUACUUCCAUGGAAAGAAGGAUCAAGAUUUCUGCCUUGUUGCCGAUAACAACCUCCACAUCAAUGGCCACUUCAUUGGCAAGAGAAACAGAAACAUGGGGAGAGACUUUACUUGGGUCCAAUCUAUUGGGAUUCUUUUCGACAACCACAAAGUACAACUCAGUGCGCAAAAGACUUCUUCUUGGGAUGACACCAUUGAUCGAAUCUCUGUUACAUUUGAUGGGGAAAACAUCUUUCUCCCAAAAACCGAAGGUGCCAAAUGGCAAUCUUCUACGACAUCAAUCACUAGGAUUGAUGACAACAAUCAUAUCAUUGUUGAAGUUGAAAACCUCUUCAGGAUCACAGCCAAAGUGGUUCCCAUAACAAAAGAAGAAUCAAGAAUCCAUAAGUAUGAUAUAACCAGUGACGAUUGCUUUGCCCAUCUCGAUCUGAAGUUCAAGUUCUUCUCCUUGAGUAACGAAGUGGAUGGAGUUCUUGGACAAACUUAUAGGAAUGACUAUGUGAGCAAGGUGAAGAUGGGGGUAUUAAUGUCUGUGAUGGGAGGAGAUAGUAAGUUUGUGAGUACCAAUUCAUUUGCAACUGAUUGUUCUGUUGCUAAAUUUAAGGGUAGCCAGGAAGACAGUUCUUCGUUGAACUUGCAGUUGCCAAGCUUGAGUUGCCAAAGCGGUAUAGAAGGGCGAGGCGUCGUAUGCAAGAGAUAGACUUUUCUUGUUCUUGAUAUUACAAUACUUAUAUAUUUACUAUGUCGUUUGAUGGUGUAAUAAAAAAUUAAUAAUAAAAUGAAGGAACCUUUUCCAAGAUAGCUAGACUUUUCUUGAUCUUGUUACUAAUUAUUACAAUACUUAUACAACAAUUCAAUUCCAAUUUCCAAUACAAUAUUUUUAUACACUCAAAGUAUUAAUUAAACCUAAGUAUCACAUACUCAUACUACAUACUGAUACUGUAUACAAUAAAUUCAAUUCCAAUUUCCAUUUCAUUUUACACGUACAAUACCACUUUCAUAUUCCAAUUUCAUACAAUUAAACAUAGAUUACAUCCAAAUCCAGUUUCAUACAAAUAAAUACAAAUCUAAAUACAAAAUCAAACAAUCAUGCCCAACAAAUUUCAUCAUUCAUCAUAGUAGGCAUUUUCAAAGAAUUAUAAACAUGAAAUCAAACAAGAUAUAUCAAAUUUCACAUUUUCAUACAACAAUAUCCAACCAAAAAAAAGAAUAGAAAAAAAAACUUACCUUUUUUGUGGCGGUGGGUGGUGUGGUGGCCAGAAGUAGUAAGUCGCUAAUGGGUGGAAGUGGGAAGUCGACGUGGUCACUGGAAAACAAUCAAUAUUAAGAAAAAAAAAACGGAAAAAAACCCUUACCUGUAACUAUGGUGGACGGGCGUCGCAAUAGACGUCGUCGCAGGUGGUCAAACCUCCGGUGUCGUCGGCGGUGAAGACGAGUGGCCGGAGGUACUCUGGACGGAAAUUCGUCGAGAGAGAGAGAGAGAGAGAGAGAGAGAGAGAGAGAGAGAGAGAGAGAGAGAGAGAGAGAGAGAGAGAGAGUGUUNNNNNNNNNNNNNAGAGAGAGAGAGAGAGAGAGAGAGAGAGAGAGAGAGAGAGAGAGCUUUUGGUGUGGCGCUGCAACUGAGAGAGGGUCGAACGAAGCAGAUAAGUUAAAACCCUAUACCGACGACAUGUCGUCGAUAUAGAGUUAAGUCACAAGACGUCGAAUAAUCUUUUCGUAAAUAAAAAAUAAAAUAAAUAAGAAUAUAUUUACCGAUGACAAGUCGUCGAAACUGAGUAUCACACGGAUCACUAUCAUUCUAUACCGACGACUUGUCGUCGAGAUAGCCCAUGAAAACUGACGUCGUUUCUAUUUUCUGUAAAAUGAAAUAUAAAUAAAUAAAACUACAUUUGGCGUAAGCUAUACUAUAUAGUCUACAAAAUUUUGAGGAAACCGUGUAAACACUUUUCUUUCCCGCCUAAGGUAUACCGACAACUUAUUGUUUCUGUAGGCUUUAUUGUCUUUGUAGGCCUUAUUUUUUGUAGUGACGAUUUUCAUCCGUAGUUAGUUAAACAAUUUUUUUCCUGAUUUGACAUCUCGUUGUACAUUGGUUAAUUGUAACACCGUAAAUUUCAAAACAAUUUUUUGCAUCUUAUAAAAACAUAAUUCAUUCAUUAUUUAUAAAAGCAUCAUUGUUUAAAACUCAAUUCAUAAUAUAUAUCAAUCCCAAGAUCUCNACAUAAAAAUCCCGUGUGUGUACUGAUCAAGUCGGCGCCUUUCCGUGAUCCUCACUAGUACCUGAAACACAUAACACGAAACACUGUAAGCACUAAGCUUAGUGAGUUCCCCAAAAUACCAUAUAUAACACAUAUUAGCCACUCGAGGCUAUAACUCUUUGGGUCCGUGCACCUAAACUCUGUGAACCCUCAGGUUCUAUCUCUGUGAACCUUCCGGUUCUAACUCUGUAAACAUGCACAUCAUAAAUCACAUAGAAUAAUGCGGUGCAACAAAUAACAAAUAUACAACAUACAAACACUAUAUCACACAACUCCGAUUACCUACUCAAGGUAAAGUAUAGUGAGAAGACUCACCUCGGAUAUCUCAGUAAAUCUCUGACUCGGUAAACUCUGGUCUAGCCCCUGCCUAAUCACAUGAAAUAAAUACUCUAAUUAAUACAACCCUCAGGGCUAGGCUAAUAUCUCUCUCUAUACAUCCUCCAAGACGGGUAGAAGACUAUCCUACCCUUCUGAUGACUCUAAGGUCCAAACAUUGAACAACCCUAAAAGUCAACGAAGUCAAUGGUCAACCUUAACCAAACUCGCUGAGUGCACAACUAUGACUUGGCGAGUCCACACGUUUUCUUCACUCUCCUAGUCCCCCUUCGACUUACUGAGUCAACCCUCAACUCUGCAAAUCAUCACAGAUCAAAAUUUGCGAAAUGUACCGACCCAACUAGUCGAGUCCGGCUCAUGACUCGGCGAGUACCAUCGUGCACUCUGCCCUGUAGAUUCCCUCUGACUCACCGAGUCGCUUCACCAACUCAGUGAGUCACCAACUGUGUGAUUAUCAGGAAAACCCUCGCCCUACUCACAGAGCCGGCUAUUGGACUCCGCGAGUUCAUGCCAUGCUCUAGCUGAAUUGACCUCCUGAGGUCAGAUCCGUUCCUCUAAACCAUAGAUCCAGCUAUCCCAAAGCAUUAUAAUCACGUAAAGCUAACAUCUUGGUGCUCAUGCAAAGGCUCAAAGGCCUUAUUUGAAGAUAUGACCUCUAAAAUGACAUCCAAAGCUCAUAACCCCCAUUAACACUCAUAAAGCUCAAGGGAAAAGGGCCUCUGGACCUCUUUGGGUCCAGAUCUACAGCACCAACACGAGAGGGGACCAAUUACUCCGUAUAACCAUCCUCUAAAGGGGCUAAAACCAUAAACUGAAGAAGGGUCGAAUGAAUACCUCAAAAUGAAGUCUCUAAGCCCUGGAAUCACUAGAUUAGCACCCUCUUCAGCCUCCUCUUGUCCUGGUCCUCUUCUAUUUGCAAAAACACUAGCAAUGAUCAAGAAAUGGCUCCUUUCCUCUCACAAACGCUCUAGCUCACUUAGGGUUUCUCUCUGGGGUCUGGUAGCCGCAAAUGACGGCCAUAAAGCCCAUUAAAUUGUCCCGAAACCCGAGGAAUUAGGGUUUCAUUAAACAGCGUGGACUCGCCGAGUCCAUGGGGUGACUCGCCGAGUCCAGCCAUCCCCCCGGAUAAUGAUUCGCGUCUCUACUCGGCGAGUCUACGCAUCAACUUGCCGAGUUCUUCCACAAAACUUGAAAUUCAACGAAUAAAUAUAAUACCUGAAAUUUUGGAUGUUACAUUAAUUUUGUAUGUGACUGUGAGCCUAUCACAUUAUUAGAGAAAGCAUGUAAAAACAAUAGGCUAAUGACGGAAACUAUCCGACACUUACUAGCGACGUUACUUUUUAAAAUAAAAGAUAGCCAGAAAUUGCAUACAUAUAGGUGUUUAGUGGAGAUUAUCGAUGUCAAACUAUGUUUUGGCUUAUCACUAGUUUUUUGCUAUUAGUGACGGAAUCGAAAAGCAAGGGACUAUCCUAUCACUUUUAGAUCGCUAAAUAAGACAUAUUUCGCUUCGGUCGCAAAGAUUUUCAAGGUAGUCCUUUUCUACCUUAAGCUCAUGACGCUUGUAAUUUUUUCAUUGACGCUUCUAAACUCCAUCUGAGCCAACUUUUCUUGAACUGGCAAAGGACUUACAGGCUUAAACAAUUCCUUAUUGAAAUAAUGAGUUUUCCACACCAAGAGGAAUGGGGAUUAUCUCAUAUAUAUAUAAUAAAUAAAGAUACAUAUACACCCCUCAAGUAUACAACAAUGAAUAAAAGACUAUACCAAUAAAGAGCUAAUGUAAUAUCCCCCCUAAAGUGAAAGGAGGUGCACCAAGACGAAGCAUGCGACGAAACUGCUCAAACUGUGGCCGAGGUAGACUCUUAGUGAAGAUGUCAUCGACUUGAAGCUUGGUAGGAACAAACAUAGUGACCUGUUUACCUGAAGCAACAAGCUCACGAACAAAAUGAUAGUCAAGAUCAAUAUGCUUAGCAUGAUUAUGAGCCACCCGGUUCUAGGUAAAGAAUAACGCACUUUGAUUGUCACAGAGAAGCGUGGGGAGAUCGGUGGGCAAGGCAUGUAGUUCCUGCGACAGAUGAGUGAUCCAAAUGAUCUUUGUAGACGUAUUAGUCAUGGCUCGAUAUUCGGACUCACAACUGGGGCGAGAGAUAGUAGGCUGCUUCUUCACACUACAGGACACAAGAUUACGCCCAAGGAAUAUCAAUUACCCAUAGGUGGAGCGGCGAGUCUCAAGGAAGCAAGCCCAAUCGACAUCAGAGUAGCUAACAAUCUUGACAGUCGGAGGCCAUGAGAAAGUGAGACCAAAUGAGAGGGUUCCCUUGACAUAGCAAAUAAGUCGUUCAACAACUUGAAAAUGAGCAAUCGUCAAGGCAGCAAUAAACAGACUAACUUGAUUACCAGCGUAAGAAAUAUUCGGUCUCGUAACUGUCAAAUAUUGAAUUGCACCAACCAAGGACCGAUAGCAAGUCAGAUCCUCAUAAAGAGGACUACCACUAACAAGGGAGGUUUUGGUAGCAAGGGGUAAGCAUGGGCUUGGCAUCGAGAAGACCGGUUCACGAGACGAUGUCGUGAGCAUACUUUUCUUAACUGAGAAACAAGCCUGUGGGAUGAUGAGUAGCCUCAAGCCCAAGAAAGUAGUUCAAACGCCCAAGACCCUUAAUUCGAAAUUCUGCAUGCAGCCAAGCAAUGAAUGACAACACAAUAACAUCACCCAAGCUAGUGACAAUCAAAUCAUCAACAUACACUAACAAAUACAAGAUACACGAGUCCCGAUGAAACACGAAAAGAGAGGAAUCUGCACGACUCCAGGAAAAACCAUGAUGCACUAAAAAUGAACUAAGUCGAUGAAACUACACAGGGGGGGCCUGAUUAAGACCAUAAAUAGCUUUAUUAAGCUUGCAAACAUAAUCAGGAUGACGGGCAUUCGCAAAACCUGGGGGUUGAUUCAUAAAGACAGUGUCACCCAAAUGGCCGUGGAGAAAGGUGUUAUUCAUGUCAAGUUGACGCAAAUGCUACCCGUUAACAAUCGCAAGAGUAAGAACAAUACGAACAGUAGCCACCUUGACAAAAGGACUGAAGGCGUGAGAAAAGUCAAGGCCCGAAACUUGACUGAACCCUUGAGCAACGAGAUGAGCCUUGUGACAUUCCACAGUCCCAUUGGCCCGAGAUUUGGUUCGAAAAAACCACCUACAACCCACAAUAUUAGCCUAGGUAGGAAGAGUAACAAGAGUCUACGUCUGAUUAUGAUUAAAAUCCGCCAUCUCGGAACACAUCACUUCACACCAUUUAGGAUCACGUAAAGUGUUAUCAUAGGAUGAAGGAAUAUUAGUAGAAAAGACCUGUGAAAAAAAGCCAUGAGAAGUUAAAUGUGCCAAAUCAGUACAGUACCGUGGCUUAAAAGUCUUGGCUUUAGCGUGUGUGGUCAUCGGAUGCGAAGGCGGGGGCAGACGGGAGGCCGGAGGCGUAUCGGGCUCGGAAUUAGACUCGAAGGCGGUGUCAGAAGCAGAACCAAUGGUUGGUUCCGAGUCAUACCCAAAUUGCGACUCGGACUCGGGUCCCGGUGAAGUAACAGCAAUUGACUCAGAUGCAGGAGUCGCUACUGAGAGAGAUGGCGGAUCUGACUCCAUGCACACAAUACAAGGAGGAGGAGCCGCGAGUCCUGGGGUACUUGGAGAGGCCGGGACAGCGUCAUCAGGGACUGGAAUGGGGGGAGCUGAUCAACAAGAAAUGUGUGCAAGGGUAAGGACCCAAUAGGAGCAUUUGUGUGGGUGUCACGAAACAUGAAGCACUCUUCAUCAAACUGAGCAUGAGGGGUAACAAAAACCCGUGUCGAAACUGGAUCGAGACAUAAGUAGCCUUUAUAUUUAGAGUGAUAACCCAUAAAAACACAAGGUAUGCUCUGCGGAGAAAGUUUAUGAUCCGCAUAGUCAUAGAAAUAUGGAUAGACCUGACACCCAAAAAUGCAAAAAUUCUCAUAAGAUGGCACCCGUCCAAACAAGACCUCAAAUGAGGAUUUCAUGGACAACACCUCAUGGGGAGACGAUUAAUUACAUGCACGGCAGAGCUAAAAGCAUGAGCCCAAUAAGAAAUAAUUGGAAUGUGAGCGUGAAACAUCAUGGUGAGGCCUGUCUCCACAAUGUGACGAUCUUUGUGUUCAACCCGCCCGUUUUGUUGGGGGUAUAUGUGCAUGUGAUGCGAUGAAAUAUACCAUGUUUAUGUAAUAACGCCUUUACUUUAUUAUUUAGAAAUUCCGUACCCCUAUCACUUUGAAAACCUUUAAUUUUGGUAGAGAAUUGAGUCUCUAGAAAGGCGAUAGAUAUCUCGAAAAUGCUAAAAAAAUCCGAUUUAGACUUGAGCGGGUAAAGCCAUGUAAAGCGGGAGAAAUCGUCCAUAAAGGUGACAUAAUAUCGGUAUGAUGCAACCGAAUCAACCGGGGAGGGACCCCAAAUAUCACAAUAGAUCAAAUCUAAAACAUGGCCGGCACGUUGGUCAUUAUUGUCAAAAGGUAACCGAUGAGCCUUAGCAAGUUGGCAAGCAAAACAAGUAACCAGUUUAUGUAAAAUAAAAGAAACCAACACAUGACCAAGUUUAUUAAUAUAGAAAUAACAUCAAAAGACACAUGCCCUAAACGUGAGUGCUAUAAUUCAAAAGACGCCUUGGGUCGCUUCUUAGCAAAAAAAACGCACUAGCCACCGGUUUAUUUGGAACAACAUAAAGCCCCCCAUCACACAUUCCUUGAGCCAUAACUUAUUUCGUUGCCCGAUCCUAAAUGUAAAACAAAUAGUUGGAGAAAAGCACAUCUAGGUUAUUCUCAUAUGUUAACUUGCUAAUAGACAAUAAUUUUUUAGUAAGACGAGGGACCACCAAAACAUCCCGCAAUCGAAUACCGUUGGGAAGAGAGGAAGUCCUAAUAGCAGUAAUGGGAAGAGUAUUACCAUUACCGAAAUGAACCGAGCCAUCACCAACAAAAGGUUGGGGUUUAGUGACCGAGUACGAAGAAGAAAACAUGUGGUCCGAGGGACCGAAAUCAAUAUACCAAUACGGGCCAGGUGGGGUCACACAACAAUUUGCAAAGUGGGGUCACACAACAAUUUGCAAAGAAGGCUUUGGCUAAAUUGGCUUCACUAGGAGCGGACUUAGAAGCAAAUGUCGGAAGUUGUGGACAAGCAUUAGCAAAAUGACAGUUUUGUCGGCAUAGUAGGCAAUGGGGGGGCCGGUGGCCACGACCACGACCACCACAAGGACCACCACGGCCAUCGGAGUCACCACCCCAACCCUGACUAGCAGAAACUGAGGCAGCAGCCCCGAUGGGCGCUGAUUCAGCAGUAAAGCCGACGGUGGGUGUGGAGUUCACGUAGAUGGAUUUCAUGAAGAGCUUAUGACCUUCGGUUUGAGCAAGGGGGUCCCAAAAAGUGUGAGUGAGCUGAGAGGUCUGAACUCCAAUGGAAAAAGCCUAAAAAGCGCCGCCAAGGCCAUAUAAGAUAUCAUGAUUUUUAUUAGAUUUGUCAACGGCUUGGACGAUAGCCGCAAGUUGAUCACAAAUCACCUUAAAUUUCCAUCCAUAUUCGAAGACGGUAGAGGUGCCUUUAGAAAGAAGCCGAAGUUGAUCACAAAGAUUUUGUACCAGUUCCAUGGAAGAGUUUCAUAGGCUAAUUCAAAAGCGGUCCAUAUAGCACGAACGGAAGAGAGUCCCACGACCUCAAAAAAUGCUUCUUCCGUGAGGGAGACUUGAAGAAGGAUAACGGCCCAUUGAUCCAUGACAUGCCAUUCCACAAAAGCAGGGUUCUCAACCUACUUUUCCUCAACCAAAUGGUAGGAAGGAGGGGUUGCAGAGGAGUCAUCAACGUGAGCAAGGAGAUGUUGAUAGGUGAGGAGGGGAAGGGAGGGGUUGUUGGCUUGAUAGCAUGAAAUAAUGAGUUUUCCACACCAAGAGGCAUGGGGAUAUGAGGAUAUGGAUGACGUUACACAAGGAUAUGAGGACACAUGGCAACUCCUUGUGGCUCACAUGCAAUUGAGCGACAUGCAGUCCAAAUAUGGCUAUAAAUAACGGGUCCCAACGGUUCAAACCCUCACACCUUAGAACACACCACACUCUCUUUCGAUUUUCGUGCCACGAAUUCUUGAGCGUCUCCCGAGUUCCGGAGUCCCGAAUUCUACCCUACAUUCAUGAUUUCACACAUCAAGGGUGAGUUCACAGCCCCACUUUACUAUUUUCAAACCAUUUCGGGGGGAGGGGGGAAUACAUGUUAUAAACACUCACAUUCAUAGAUAUUGCUAACUGUAUGACCUUAUUAAUAUGACUAUGCUUAGAAUAGUAGGAUGAUAUUAUGCACGGUAGAUAUUAUGUCCUACUUUUUAGGAUAAUAUUAUGCUUAGUUGUUACGUGACUCACACUGAUAGAAAACAUCAUAUCUAGUUGUUACGAUGGACAGUUUCCAGGAAACAUUGUUUCUCUAGUCAUUAUUGUAGUCAAUCUUUGUAUAAGCUUAGUACUUAAUGGUUANUAUAUAUAUAUAUAUAUAUAUAUAUAUAAGUAUCUCAUAUAAAUACAACGAAGUACAACAACGCGAUCGACCAGGGGAGGCCCCCAUAACACAAGUGUUAGAGGAGACAUGGUUCAUCCCCUAGCUGAAGAACCUUCUAUAAAAGUGAGCAGAAAAGAUAUGUAAAGAUCUAUACGGAGUGGACACCUCCACUUGCGGUUGCUAGCUACAACCCGAUGGCAGUUGGUACAAGCAUAACUUUCUAAACACUGAUGACGUCUGAUGAAACGUCGAAUUUUUGGGAGGGCGACAAAAACAGUCAUAGCUCGAUUAUAGGAAAUCAUCGUAACAUUGUUAAUCUAAUAUAUCUAAAAACUACUACUAGGAAAUAAACCUAAGAAAGUAGUGAUAGAACACGAAUCAAGUAUGUGAGUUUAGGGUAAACAACAAUGUUAACAUAAGAAACUCUACAAAACCCUUUUAAACUAUACAAAACCUGUCAACUCCCAAUCAUUAUGUUGAACUUUCAAACCACGUGUAUUCUCAAGAGAAUGAGUCCGGAAGGAGAUGGGUAAGACCCCGGUGAUGCAUCAAGAGGCUUAUGUGUUUUAUUAUUGUAUUUGCUUUCGUAUCGUAUUUGUACCUCGGAUACCUGUGUAACCUAAUUUACAUAAUAAAUAAAAAGUACCUUUUUUAUAAUAUUUGUGUACUGUUCAAUGUUAUUUCUAUCUAUGAUCCAAUAUCCUAACGUUGCACAACCCAACGCUUCCGUCGUCGGUCGGGAGUGUGACAAAAGUUGUUUGUGAAUAGUUAUGCUUGAAGCUCGUUAAACUAGUAUUCAUACCAUCGAUUUUAAGUCUUAAACUUCUAUGGAUAUUGUUCUUCCCCUAUUUCAACUUGAUACAAUUGUUUUGUGCUUUUGGUAAAGGCGAAAAGGAGAUGCAAUUUGCUUUAGCGACGAUUUGAAGACUCCUAGACACACCGUUUUUUUAACCAGACAAGAAUGGAAGUAACCUUAAAAUGCCGUUCGAUUUCAUGAGGGUGUGACCGAGGUAGUGGCAAUAAGGAGGUAGUCUUGAAUGCUUAGAGGAGUCGUUUUAAGUGGAUUGUUUACACUUAACAUACUAAAUGUUGAGAAUGAGAGCAAUCAAAGCAGUCCUUAAGCAAUAGCAAGAAAUUAAAAGACAUACAUGAUUUUUUCAAGAUGGCAUACAAAAAUUGAGCGUUUGGCACCUUUUUUUAAGUUUGAUGUAUGACAUUAAAACAUGGCAUAUGUUUGUACGUCGUAAUUUUUAUUAAUACAUGACAUAAUUUUACGACAUACAAUUAUGCCUUUUGUAAUCUUUUCUUAAGAAACUUAACAUUAUAAUUAUGACAGACUCAAGGACGGAACUGACAUAUAGCUCGUAGUAGCCUGUGAUAUGCCUUAAAUUUUUCGUAGUAGUGUAAACAAAAUUUUGAUUAUUUUUUUAUAUACAAGUGAAACUACUAAAAUUUUUUGUCCAAUUACUUGAUUAAAUAAAAAAACUAACUUAAAAAGUCAUAAUGUGUUAGCCAUUGAUUCCAUAUUUACCAAAAAUAAUUUGAGUAUAUCUCAUGUGAGAAAUUAUAUACUUUUUAAUGUAUUUGAAUCUUUAUCUAUUUUAUUUCUUAUUUACAUAUAUAUUUAUCGAAAUAUGUUAGAUAUAUAUAUAUAUAUAUAUAUAUAUAUAGAUAGAUAGAUAAGUGGGCAACGAUAUGAUAGAGCAAGUAAUAUGCGAGGUGUAUUCAACAGUUUAAAAGCAUUGAUAUUGAAAGAUAUUGUUGACAUAUUAUGUACGCUAUUUUUGCACACCAACUUGAAUUAGUGGAUGUGGUUGUAGCAAAAAACCACAAUGAUGCUGAUGAUUUCUUUAAGUAAUGAGCUUUGACGGUUAAUGUGGUGUGUGCUUCUUGUAACAUAAAAGUUAUUGUAUGGGAGAGUUACAAGGAAACGGUUCAACAAGAAAUUGGUAAUGUGAAAUUGAGAUCUAAUAAGGGUUAAUCAAGAUAUUUCUGUUGUUCAAAUCGGAGAUACAAGAUGGUCUCACGGUAUAAAACAAUAAUAAGUUUGGAAUUUUUUUUUCGGAGGUUGUCAAGGUUCUUAGUUAUAGUUAUAGUGAACAUUAGGCAUCUAGUUUACAUAACCGAAAAUCAAACGUACGGUAUUUUGUCAUAUUUCAAGACACUUGAUUUUUUUGUUUUAUUUACACUUAAUGUUGGAGAUUUUUGGUCUCACUACACUACUAGAAAACUAGGUAUCGCCAAUAGAUUUAGCGAGGGAAAUAAUCUGUCACAACCAGCCUUUUUGGCUAGGAAAUUUCAUCCUCAAGUAAGCAAGGACUAUUGUGAGACUUGUGCCAACACACUCAAGUGUUCAAUACGAGUUCCUAAGGAGCCAUAUAGUGUUAGAAUGCAAAUCUCUCCAAGAAUUGUGAAUCUCUCCCAAAUCUCUCUAAGUAUGCAAAAUCUCUCCAAGUAUAGUGAAUAUCUCCCAAAUAUCUCCAAGAAUAGUGAAUCUCUUCCAAAUCUCUCUAAGUAUGAGAAAUGUCUCCAAGUAUAGUGAAUCUCUCCUAAAUCUCUCCAAGAAUAGUGAAUCUCUCCCAAAUCUCUCUAAGUAUGCAAAAUCUCUCCAAGUAUAGUGAAUCUCUCUUAAAUCUCUCCAAGAAUAGUGAAUAUCUCCCAAAUCUCCCUAAGUAUGCGAAAUCUCUCCAAGUAUAGUGAAUCUCUCCCAAAUCUCUCCAAGUAUGUGAAAUCUCUCUCAAAUCUCUCCAAGUAUGUGAAAUCUCUCUCAAAUCUUCCUAAGCACCUUCUUCACAUGAAAACAGCUCAAAACCGAAACUGGAAACCCCAAAGGACCCUCAUUCUCCGGAAACCUCUUAGUCCGGAUACCAUUUAAGAAACCAAGAAGCUUCUCACUUUAGAAUCUCCUUUGCUUCGGAAUCUUCUUUGCUCCGGAAGAAGCCUCUUAUCUAGACAUAUUAGUUGGCUUCGGAAGACUAGUCAACUUCGCAUCUCCGAAUGUCGCGGUCCGGACUUACCUGUUUCGCACCUGACUCCGGAAGUAAGGAUUGACUUCGGAACUCGCACAACACCUCCGGAACACACAUGUUGGCCACUUCCGACCCUCGAAGAACUGACCCUCCACUCCGGAAUUCUAAGAGGAGCUUCGGAUUUCACCUUAUGACUCCGUAAUUCACCUCUUAGCUCCAGAUUUUGGACCAUUUCAGACCUUUUCUCAAUUUUGAGGUCGAGAAUCCCACCAAACUCGUGUUUUUCUUAACUAAGACCCCUAAAACCCCUAUUUAAUGCUAAAAUUAAUUAUUUUAAGCAUAUUUUUCAUAAAAAUAAAUGUUUGGGAUUUAGGAAAACCUUAUCCUAAAUCAAAAAGGACAAAGGGAUUGACUUUAUGAUUUGACGAAAUUCCUCAUUUCCUAUGCAAAUCACAGUAUCCCAUGCUUUACCCACCAAAAUAUCCAUGCAUGGACCACUAGAUUCCAAUGCACCAAAGAUUCCCUCUCUUUUUCUUACUCUAAAUCACGACAAUAGAAGAAAGAUUGGGCAAUCCAUUUCCUCUCACUCCUCUCAUUUCCUCCCAAAAGCUUAUCCCCAAGAGCAAAAUAAGGAUCUUGUUGGAAGCAAAAUUCUCAAAAUUCUUCCUGGAAAUUUAAAGUAGGUUCUCCACUCAUCUAAUACUUAUUAAUAUUUCAAGAUGAAUCCAUAUUGUUUUAUUCAUAAUAAUAUGUGAUAAUCACCUUAAAUAAAACAUUUUUCCCUAGAGAAGUCCCCCAUCUCAGCCAGGAGUUUAAGCUUGAGAUCUUCACUCCAUAACUCCAAACAUCUCUUCAACCAACUCAAGGUGAACUUCAUACCCCCACAUUUUUCAAUGUUUUAAUGUUUUUAGGGGAGAGUACAAGUCAAAUUUUGCCUAAAUUCUUAAAUGAUUGCAUAUAUAUAUGUAUGUUUGUAUGUGUGUUUGAAAUAUUAUUAAAUUAUUAUUUAGUAAUAUAUUCGUGAACGAAGGACUUCUAAAUUUCAUAAAGAACAAAUGAUACUUUGUACAAAAGAGCCUCCAACUAUUGGGUGUGUCCAACUUAAUCCCUUUAUUUCAUGUCUAGAAAUAAAAGUUAUAAUAUGGAUCUUGAUAAGUGGACACCAUUUCUAGUAAUUUUCGAAAAUGGAAACUUUGUGAACUAUAUGCAAAGUAUCGGGGGGUAUUUUAUAAAUAUUCGAUAUAAAAGUUUGCGUCAAGAAAAUAUACAAAUAGAGCCUUAUGACAGAUAUAUUUGCAUGUCAUAAGCUGCUGUCAUAAAACCUCCAAGAACAUAAAGUAAUGUUCUAUAUGUCAUAAAACAGAAAAUGCGUGUCAUAACCGGCAGUUAUAAAUUUAUACAAAUUAUAACUUGGCACUUUUUCUCUUGGCUAAAAUGACUCAAUUUUUUAAUAAACAAAAAGGAACGAACACGAACACCCAGUUAAUGAGCACGAUCAACGAUAUGGAACGAGAACGAUAUUUCUAUUCAAUAAGUACGAAUUUCAUUAUUUAUGUAACAAAUAAUGGAUGUCUAACGAUUACUCAAAAGUUGUUAAUAUUCUAGUCAGACAAAUCUCAAAAGUACCUAAAUAUAAAAAUAUCAGUGUACGUCUAAGUCCUGUAAGGAGUUAUAGCUAGAGUCUCUUGGAGAGAGAGCGAGAAUUUGUGUAUAGAUCUAUACGGGGUUGACACCCCGCACCUUCGCUGUUCGCUACAGCUAGAUAGGCCAGUCUAGGGUGACAAAUGUCUUUUCCAAACCGAGGGCGCCUGAGAAACGCCAAAACAGGCACUCCGUCAGAUUAGUAUGGUUAUAACGACUCACUAGAAUAUGUUAUAUUAACUAGAAAUUUAUUUAAGGAAAACCUCAUAAAUAAAUUUUGGCACGUUGUGUUGACUGCCGUAUACGUGAUAAGGUGAUGGUUCGCAAGUGUUGCGUUGACUGUCCUUUCUUUUCACCGUGUAGAAUGUUUAUAAUUGCCAUGUUGAUUCUUUCUCCUAACAAGUAUAGAAUCGUAAUACUGCUAUUUUACAAAUUAAAAGGCGUAGGACUCUAUACGAUUUCGAUAACGAUAAACUAGAACUUACGAAUAUUUUAUAGCAGAAAAUACAGGAUUUUCUGGAGAAAACGAUUUUCUACGAUUUCGAUAACGAUAAACCAGAACUUACGAAUAUUUUAUGGCAGAAAAUAUAGGAUUCUCUGGAGAGAACGAUUUUUCUACGAUUUCGAUAACGAUAAACUAGAACGCACACUCAAUUUUACUCGAUAAGAGGAACUAAAUUUUCAACCAUGUUUCCGUUUUGCAAAUAGGGGAUUUUUCUUGAAGCGAUUGAUUAUUAUUAUUCAAAAGAACUACUCUCAGACACAACUCACUUUCACAAAUUACAAUACUUUUCAAAGAUCACUCCUUAUAAGGAUUUUCAAGGCAAGACUUUUCAUAGAAAAUAUCUGAUUCUCUGAAAGUACAAUACAAACGAUUCUAAACAAGUGUAAACGAUUUUAUACAAAAAUGCUUAUGAACUCACCAACUUUUUAGUUGACGCUUUUCAAAACGACUUGUAUUCUCAAGGAUCUAUCUAGGUAAACAGGUAACAAGGGAUGUUGAUGCAAGACCAUUUAGCUGUAGUUUGAAGUUUUCUACUUAUGUAUCUUUUGUGUAACUCGAAGAAAAAAUACAAUAUGUAAACAAUCUAAGUUUGUUAUCUCAAUAUAUGAUGUUUAGAUUGCUCGGUGUCAUGUAUAUUCAAUUGUUAUGAUACUGCAAGUGACAUAAUCCCUCACUGAUCUACGACGGAUUUACUAGGGAUCAGCGAUGGAUCUGUUUUCUUUAUUAAUCAACAUCUUUGUGACAGAUUAGAGAGGGAUUAAUGACAUAAUAUAUCCCUCGCUAAUCGAUUGAUAAAAUUGGCUGUUGAAUUUCAUUCCCUCUAAUUCCUUCCAAUUAUUUGAUUCCCAAAUUCUCUCCUUCCCAAUUAAUUCAUUCCCCCCAAAUAACACUUUCACUUUCGUACGAAAUCUACUCUCUUCAAACAUAAAACCCCUUUACCCUAAUCAACCAAUUUUUUAAUUCCCUCCAUGCUACCAAACUCUUCCUGCUCACUCACCUUCUUGAGUACCCUAAUCACCUAGUUCCCUCCUCCGGCUUAGUUUCCUAUUCAAAGUCAAAAUUGCAACAAUGAGCAAACAUUUUCCCCUGGUGGUGUGUUCUUUACAUCCGAUCAUCGUUACAUACGCACAUUCAAACUAUUCCUUGUUACCUACACUGCUCUCUCUCUCUCUCUCUCUCUCUUCGGUAAAUUUCAUGUCCUUAUUUUUUUUGUUAUGACCAAUAAUUUACAUGCUUUCUCAACACAGGUUGUGCUUAUGUUUCAUGUCACUUGCUUAGUAUGAACUACGAACCACAAUUGAUCUUGUAAUGGGGUUUAAUCUAAUAGUGUUUCGACCUAUAUCGAUUGAAUUGGUUUUUUAGGGGUGAUUUUAUUUUAGAAUCGCAUUGUGAUGAGUAGAUGACCGAACCUUGGAAAAAAUACCCAGGUAAUGGGCUCUUUCAUUAUUUCUUCCCAAUUUUAGUUAUUGAUUUUGUUAACUACUUUUCUUAGUAAGCAACUAGUCAGGGAUUUUUGUUUUAGCAUUUUGUUUGUGUUUUGCUUAUAGAAAUGUAUGGAUUUUUGCUACUUUGUUUUCUGGGAGUUAGGUAAGGGUGUUCACAUACCAGAAACAUUUAAAGGUAAGAUAAUCUCUUACUCUAUUUUUAUUCCUUUUAUCUUACGUACAUUUUGUACAAUACGGAUUGAUUUGAUUUUGUUCAAUAUGAGAAAAACAAUUACUAGAACGGUAAUAGAGAAACCGAGGAGGAAUAAGUACACAAGAACACUGCAGUGGGGGUUUGAUUUACUAUGCAAAAAUAGAUUUGUAGAUGGCUCUUAUUGUAUAGCAUGUUCUUAUAUACAAAUGUUGUCCCUACACUAUAUCCUUAUAUUUAUUUAUUUCUUUUUUUUACUCAAGAUAUUAUAAUAAUAUAAGGAUAUGAGAUCAGUUUUAAGUUCCAUAUGUUGAUGUUUUUAUUGAAUCUAUCUGGAUUUAUAUUUUACUAUUGGAUUUGAAUAUAGGUGUUUCAUUAUAGUUCAAAUAUGCAGGGGUUACCAGUGAGUUCGUAAACAUGUACCUCAUUUUGAUUUUAUUAGUUAUAAUUCUUUCAUAUUUCCUUAUUUUCCUUGAAAUAGUUUUUGUUUCUUUAAACUGUUGGUCAUUGUUUUAAUGGUUGGUGGCAGAGCUAUUAACAAAAAUCAUGUGUUGGAUCAAUAUGGCACUUAGGUUACCAUUUUGGGUAAUAACUUAUCUUGGUUCUUAAUUGAGAAGCGAUGAGGGAUUGCCAAAGAAUGAUGUAAUGGUAAUUAAGAUAUUGUUAUUUGCUUACAUUUAAAAAAAAAUGGUAUGUUGAAGAGCAACCAAGAAUGGAGAGGGUACCUUUGGGUUUGACCUUGAUAUGAUCUCUGGAUUACAUGUUCCUAAUGAGCGGUUGAGGCGAAACCAACACUCUUAGAGUAUGAUACUAUAACCGUAGUCUAUUAUCUAAUAAAAUCAUACUUUGUUAUCGAUUUUGUAGUAUUGUCACUAGUACAAGUCACUUAAGUACUGUCGUGAAGAUUGGGAAAGCUUUAGAUAAAACAUAAAGGAAUAAAGUGUCAAUACUACAUAUAUGGAUGUCUACACAGGUAAGCGGAGUUGACUCUGCUGUGUGUAGAAAUGUAUGUUUCUAUUUAUUUAAUAAUAUGUCCUGAUGCUUAAUAAUUAAUAAUUCCUUUUCCAAGUUUAAAGUAUGUCGGUAUUAAUUGCUUAUAGCUUGUUUAUCAAGUUAAAAGUAUGUUGCUAUUAAUUGAAUGAUAUGGCAUGAUGUUUUAUUUGAUAUGAACUUGGUUAUUGUUGUUUUAUAGGUUAUUGUUGAUUGUAUUCAUAAGGAGAUGCAAGGAGAGCUUAAGGCGGAAUGCAAAUAAAUUGAGGCCAAAAAACAAGAAAUCGUCAAGAUGUACAACAUCGUAAAGCUCACCCAAGGAAAUAACCUACCCAUAAAAUUAGAUUUUGACACUUUUGGGGUUUACUAAGUUAUUUGUUUCAUCGCUAAUCCGUUGCUAUUUCAUCGCUAAACUCGUCGCUGAAUCCAUCGCUAACACUUAGCGACAAGGCUUUUUUCAACCGACAAUUUCUGUCGCUGAUAACCAGCGACAAAAUUGUCCGUCCCCGUUUCCUCAAUUUCUAGUAGUGCGGAUUCCUUGUCAAGACAUCUUCAAAGAAAGGAUCAAAAUAUUUUGGAAGCGACUUCUCUUUGGUCAAAGUGACGAUGAAAACGUUGAAAGCUUUAAUAAAUAAAGAGUUUCCAUCAAUGUUGGAGAACAUAUUUUCUUUUUGUCAUAAACAUAAAAUUAGAAAUGUGGAAAUAUCCAAAUUUUAUGUUACUCCAAGAGACUGUAGAACCAAUGUUACUAAUCAAAAUCACUUUGAAAUUGAUAUUUUCAAUACGGUUUGGAUAUACAAAUUCAAGAAUCCGAUGACCGUUUUAGUGAUUUAAGCAACGAUUUUCUAGAAUACAUGGCAGCUUUGAGUUCUUGUAAUUUAUUUUCUAUGUUUGACAAAUCAAAGUAGGUGAAGCUAAGUUGGUUGUACAAACAAAAUUUAAUGAUUCGAAAAGAGUGUAUCUUGAUGGUCAACUUGAAACCUAUGAUCACUCUUUGAUUGAUGAUGAGACUUUUUCUAACUUGAAGGGAAUUGUCGUCCUUUAUCAUUUGAUGGUGGAAACCUAAUAACAUCAUUCUUUUUCUUUGGUUCAUAGGUCAUUAAAGUUGACUUUGGUUUUGCCCUUCGCAACCUCANUAUGGCACUUAGGUUACCAUUUUGGGUAAUAACUUAUCUUGGUUCUUAAUUGAGAAGCGAUGAGGGAUUGCCAAAGAAUGAUGUACUGGUAAUUAAGAUAUUGUUAUUUGCUUACAUUUAAAAAAAAUGGUAUGUUGAAGAGCAACCAAGAAUGGAGAGGGUACCUUUGGGUUUGACCUUGAUAUGAUCUCUGGAUUACAUGUUCCUAAUGAGCGGUUGAGGCGAAACCAACACUCUUAGAGUAUGAUACUAUAACCGUAGUCUAUUAUCUAAUAAAAUCAUACUUUGUUAUCGAUUUUGUAGUAUUGUCACUAGUACAAGUCACUUAAGUACUGUCGUGAAGAUUGGGAAAGCUUUAGAUAAAACAUAAAGGAAUAAAGUGUCAAUACUACAUAUAUGGAUGUCUACACAGGUAAGCGGAGUUGACUUUGCUGUGUGUAGAAAUGUAUGUUACUAUUUAUUUAAUAAUAUGUCCUGAUGCUUAAUAAUUAAUAAUUCCUUUUCCAAGUUUAAAGUAUGUCGGUAUUAAUUGUUUAUAGCUUGUUUAUCAAGUUAAAAGUAUGUUGCUAUUAAUUGAAUGAUAUGGCAUGAUGUUUUAUUUGAUAUGAACUUGGUUAUUGUUGUUUUAUAGGUUAUUGUUGAUUGUAUUCAUAAGGAGAUGCAAGGAGAGCUUAAGGCGGAAUGCAAAUAAAUUGAGGCCAAAAAACAAGAAAUCGUCAAGAUGUACAACAUCGUAAAGCUCACCCAAGGAAAUAACCUACCCAUAAAAUUAGAUUUUGACACUUUUGGGGUUUACUAAGUAAUUUGUUUCAUCGCUAAUCCGUUGCUAUUUCAUCGCUAAACUCGUCGCUGAAUCCAUCGCUAACACUUAGCGAUAAGGCUUUUUUCAACCGACAAUUUCUGUCGCCGAUAACCAGCGACAAAAUUGUCCGUCCCCGUUUCCUCAAUUUCUAGUAGUGCGGAUUCCUUGUCAAGACAUCUUCAAAGAAAUUAUCAAAAUAUUUUGGAAGCGACUUCUCUUUGGUCAAAGUGACGAUGAAAACGUUGAAAGUUUUAAUAAAUAAAGAGUUUCCAUCAAUGUCGGAGAACAUAUUUUCUUUUUGUCAUAAACAUAAAAUUAGAAAUGUGGAAAUUCCUCGCGAGAGAGAGAGAGUGAGAAAGAGAGAGAGAGAGCUUUUGGUGUGGCGCUGCAACUGAGAGACGGUCGAACGAAGCAGAUAAGUUAAAACCUUAUACCGACGACAUGUCGUCGAUAUAGAGUUAAGUCACAAGACGUCGAAUAAUCUUUUCGUAAAUAAAAAAUAAAAUAAAUAUGAAUAUAUUUACCGACGACAAGUCAUCGAAACUGAGUAUCACACGGAUCACUAUCAUUCUAUACCGACAACUUGUCGUCGAGAUAGCCCAUGAAAACUGACGUCGUUUCUAUUUUCUGUAAAAUGAAAUAUAAAUAAAUAAAACUACAUUUGGCGUAAGCUAUACUAUAUAGUCUGCAAAUUUUUGAGGAAACCGUGUAAACACUUUUCUUUCCCGCCUAAGGUAUACUGACAACUUAUUGUCUCUGUAGGCUUUAUUGUCUUUGUAGGCCUUAUUUUUUGUAGUGACGAUUUUCAUCCGUAGUUAGUUAAACAAUUUUUUUCCUGAUUUGACAUCUCGUUGUACAUUGGUUAAUUGUAACACCGUAAAUUUCAAAACAAUUUUUUGCAUCUUAUAAAAACAUAAUUCAUUCAUUAUUUAUAAAAGCAUCAUUGUUUAAAACUCAAUUCAUAACAUAUAUCAAUCCCAAGAUCUCAUAACAUAAAAAUCCAGUGUGUGAACUGAUCAAGUCAGUGCCUUUCCGCGAUCCUCACUAGUACCUAAAACACAUAACACGAAACACUGUAAGCACAAAGCUUAGUGAGUUCCCCAAAAUACCAUAUAUAACACAUACUAGCCACUCGAGGCUAUAACUCUUUGGGUCCGUGCACCUAAACUCUGUGAACCCUCAGGUUCUAUCUCUGUGAACCUUCCGGUUCUAACUCUGUAAACAUGCACAACAUAAAACACAUAGAAUAAUGCGGUGCAACACAUAACACAUAUAUAGCAUACGAACACUGUAUCACAUAACUCAGAUUACCUACUCAAGGUAAAGUAUAGUAAGAAGACUCACCUCCGAUAUUUCAGCAAAUCUCUGACUCGGUAAACUCUGGUCUAGCCCCUGCCUAAUCACAUGAAAUAAAUACUCUAAUUAAUACAACCCUCAGGGCUAGGCUAAUCUCUCUCUCUCUCUCUCUAUAUAUAUAUAUAUAUAUAUAUAUAUAUAUAUAUAUAUAUAUAUACAUCCUCUANNNNNNNNNNNNNNNNNNNNNNNNNNNNNNNNNNNNNNNNNNNNNNNNNNNNNNNNNNNNNNNNNNNNNNNNNNNNNNNNNNNNNNNNNNNNNNNNNNNNNNNNNNNNNNNNNNNNNNNNNNNNNNNNNNNNNNNNNNNNNNNNNNNNNNNNNNNNNNNNNNNNNNNNNNNNNNNNNNNNNNNNNNNNNNNNNNNNNNNNNNNNNNNNNNNNNNNNNNNNNNNNNNNNNNNNNNNNNNNNNNNNNNNNNNNNNNNNNNNNNNNNNNNNNNNNNNNNNNNNNNNNNNNNNNNNNNNNNNNNNNNNNNNNNNNNNNNNNNCCUCUAGAUUCCCUCUGACUCACCGAGUCACUUCCCCAACUCAGUGAGUCACCAACUAUGUGAUUAUCGGGAAAACCCUCGUCCUACUCGCCGAGUCGGCUAUUGGACUCGGUGAGUUCAUGUCAUGCUCAAGCUGAACUGACCUCCUGAGGUCAGAUCCGCUCCUCUAAACCGUAGAUCUAGCUUCCCAAAGCAUUAUAAUCACGUAAAGCUAACAUCUUGGUGCUCAUGCAAAGGCUCAAAGGCCUUAUCUGAGGAUAUGACCUCUAAAAUGAAAUCCAAAGCUCAUAACCCCCAUUAACACUCAUAAAGCUCAAGGGAAAAGGGCUUAUGGACCUCUUUGGGUCCAGAUCUACAGCACCAACACGAGAGGGGACCAAUUACUCCAUAUAACCAUCCUCUAAAGGGGCUAAAAAGCCCUAACUCUAAGAAUUACACCAUAAACUGAAGAAGGGUCGAAUGAAUACCUCAAAAUGAAGUCUCUGAGCCCUGGAUUCACUGGAAUAGCACCCUCUUCAGCCACCUCUUGUCUUGGUCCUAUUCUAUUUGCAAAAACACUAGCAAUGAUUAAGAAAUGGCUCCUUUCCUCUCACAGACGCUCUAGCUCACUUAGGGUUUAUCUCUGGGGUCUGGUAGCCGCAAAUGACGGCCAUAAAGCCCCUUAAAUAGUCCCCAAACCCAAGGAAUUAGGGUUUCAUUAAACAGCGUGGACUCGCCGAGUCCAUGGGGCGACUCGCCGAGUCCAUCCAUCCACCCGGAUAAUUAUUCGCGUCUCUACUCGGCGAGUCUACGCAUCAAAUCGCCGAGUUCUUCAACAAAACUUGAAAUUCAAAAAAUAAAUAUAAUACCUGAAACUCCGGAUGUUACAAAUCUCCCCCACUUGAAACAAUCUUCGCCCUCGAAGACUCAUUCCUAAAAUAGCUCCGGAUGCUGCUCACGCAUCUCCCGCUCUGGCUCCCAAGUCAACUCGCAUCCUCUCCGAUGUUGUCAUUGAACCUGCACCAGAGGCACCUCCUUGUUCCUCAGAACCUUGAUCUUCUGAUCCACAAUCGCAACUGGUCUCUCCACGUAGUUCAGGCUCGCAUCCACCUGAAUGUCCUCUAACGGCACUACCGCCGACUCGUCGGCUAUACACUUCCUCAAUUGAGACACGUGGAAAGCAUUAUGAAUCCGCUCCACCUCCGCAGGUAGCUCCAAGCGAUACGCUACGCUGCCCACCCUCGUGAUCACUCUAAAUGGCCCAAUAUAUCGGGGCCCUAGCUUGCCCCUCUUCCUGAAUCGAAUCACUCCUUUCCAAGGAGAUACCUUCAGGAUAACAUAAUCACCGACCUGGAACUCAAGCUCGAAUCGUCGCCUAUCCGCAUAACUCUUCUGGCGACUUUGAGCGGUCAACAAUCUCUGCCUGACCUGCUGUAUCUGCUUUUUCGUCUGAAGCACAAUCUCCGUGCUACCUAUCACUCGUUGUCCCACCUCUCCCCAACAAAUGGGAGUCCGACACCUCCUCCCAUACAACAGCUCAAAGGGCGGCAUUCCAAUGCUCGAAUGAUGGCUGUUGUUGUAGGAAAACUCCGCUAAGGGCAAAUACGUGUCCCAACUUCCGCCAAAAUCCAACACACAUGCUCGGAGCAUGUCCUCGAGCGUCUGAAUCGUCCGCUCGCUCUGACAGUCAGUCUGCGGGUGGUAUGCGGUACUAAAAUGCAGCCUCGUACCCAACUCCUCAUGGAAUUUCUUCCAAAACCUGGAAGUGAAACGCACAUCUCGAUCUGACACAAUCGAGAUCGGCACCCCAUGCCGCGAUACCACCUCUCUCACAUAUACCUCUGCUAACUUCUCCGCAGAAGAACUCUCACUAAUGGCGAGAAAGUGAGCGCUCUUAGUCAAGUGGUCUACUAUCACCCAAAUCGCAUCGACACCCUCGCCGUUCUCCAUAAUUUGGUGAUAAAAUCCAUGGAUAUCUGCUCCCAUUUCCGCUCUGGGACCUCCAGUGGCUGCAACUUACCAUGCGGUCUAUGAUGUUCGGCUUUAACCCUACUACAAGUUAGGCACCUCUCAACAAACCACGCUACAUCUCUCUUUAUACAGGGCCACCAAUACACCCUUUUAAGAUCCAGAAACAUCUUAGUGGCCCCGGGAUGGAUCGAGAAUCUCGAUCUAUGCGCCUCAUCCAUCAAGAUGGUACGCGUUCCUCCACAAACGGUACCCAAAUUCGACCCUGGAAGGUCAUAAGCCCUCUGCUAUCUGUCACGAACUCUGACACCUAUCCGAUAACUCGCUCUCUCUUACGGUUCUCCAGUCUCACUGCCUCAGCCUGAGCCCCUCUGAUGGUGUCCAACAUCGGAGUCAUCGCCGUCAAUCUCAUACAAAUAUCCUGAAUCGGGGCGCUCUUUGCCCUACGAAUCAGGGCGUCGGCUACCACAUUAGCCUUGCCCGGGUGGUACAGGAUCUAACAAUCAUAAUCCUUUACUACAUCCAACCAUCUCCUCUGACACAUGUUCAGGUUUGGCUGAUCCAUCAAAUACUUCAAACUCUUGUGGUUCGUGUAUAUCGUACACCGAACCCCAUACAGAUAAUGGUGCCAAAUCUUGAGGGCGAACACCACAGCCCCCAACUCUAGAUCGUGGGCGGGAUACCUUGUCUCAUGGGGCUUCAGCUGCCUUGAUGCGUACGCGAUCACAUGCCCCCUCUGCAUCAACACCGCGCCCAACCAAGAUAUCAACGCGUCACAAUACACCACGAAGUCCUCCAUUCCCUCUGGAAGAGCCAACACCGGGGCUUCGCACAAUCUCUGGCGAAGAGUCUCAAAUGAGGCAUGCUGCUCUGGGCCCCAGCUGAACACCACACCCUUCCGGGUCAACCUGGUGAGAGGAACAGCAAUCUUGGAGAAAUCCCUGAUGAACCUCUGAUAAUAGCCGGCCAACCCUAGAAAACUCCUGAUCUCAGAAGGAGAUUUUGGCACCUCCCAACUAAUCACCACCUCGAUCUUGGCCAGAUCGACCAAAAUCCCCUUUUGGUUAAUGAGGUGACCAAGGAACUGCACCUCCCGUAACCAAAAAUCGCACUUGGAGAAUUUGGCGUAAAGCCUCUCCGAUCUCAACAUACUGAGGAUUUCUCGCAAAUGCUCCUCAUGCUGCUCCCUGGAUCUCGAAUACACCAAAAUGUCGUCAAUGAACACAAUCACUGAUCGACCAGCAUCGGUCUACAUACCCUGUUCAUGAGAUCCAUGAACGCUGCAGGCGCAUUGGUGAGCCCGAAUGGCAUCACCACGAACUUGUAAUGCCCAUAACGAGUCCUGAAUGCGGUCUUCUGGAUAUCCUCCUCGCGCACCCUCAUCUAAUGAUAUCCAGAUCUCAGAUCAAUCUUGGAAAACCAAGACGCUCCCUGCAGCUGAUCGAACAAAUCGUCGAUCCUCGGCAAAGGAUAACGGUUCUUGACCGUUAACCUGUUCAGCUCUCGAUAACCUAUGCACGUUCGGUGUGAGCCAUCCUUUUUCUUCACAAAAAGGAUUGGUGCUCCCCACGGCGAGCUGCUCGGCCGUAUAAACCCCUUCCCCAGCAGCUCCUGAAGCUGCGAGGAUAACUCCUGCAUCUCCGGAGGUGCAAGGUGAUAGGGCGCCUUGGCAAUAGGUGCUGCCCCUGGAAUCAAAUCAAUGCGAAACUCAACUUGCCUCUUGGGAGGCACACCUGGUAACUCCUCGGUAAAGACAUCUGGAAAUUCACGCACUAUCGGAACCUCCUCAACCAUACUUGGUCUCUCUGCACCAACUCUCGUAUCCAUCAAAUACGCUACAAAACCACUACAGCCCUGCUGUAGACUCUGCCUCGCUCUAGCAGCCGAACAAAACGCUGAAUCGGGGCGGGUACCCUCGCCGUACAACAUAAGAACUCCUCCACUUGGGUCUCGUAUAGCCACCAGUUGCCGCUCACAAUCGAUAACUGCUCCAAAUCUGAUCAACCUAUCCAUGCCUACGAUGACACAGACGUCCCCCAUCGCAAUCGGGACCAAAUCAAUAGGAAACUCUACACCGAAAAUCUCGAGUACACAUCCUCGAAUCACCUCUGUGGCAUACACUGCUCUCUCGUCGGCGAUGGAGACUCUCAAAGGUCGACUCAACGCCUCUCGACUAAUACUGAUGUGCUGACUAAAAACCAACAAUAUAAAAGAUCGACUCGCACCCGAGUCAAAUAACACUAAAGCAGGUACAUAAAUCACAAGAAAAGUACCUACGCAUAUCAUAAUAUAAGCAAAAAAUCUCAAACAUGAAAAUAAUUACAUGAAAGAAUACAUACCAUCCACGACAUCGGGCGCUGCGCGGACCUCUUCCGCGGUCAACUGGAAGGCUCUCCCCCGAGCCUUCAGCGUCUCGGUCUUCACCGGCCGACUAUCAGAAGCUCUAACAGCAGCAGGGGCAGACCCCUGAGGAGCUCCCUGUGAUGACCCUCGCAGUAGUGACACUCGGCCUUCCGGUGUCCGGUCUGGUUGCAAUGAAAACACACUGCAAACCCCUUGGGGCAGUCCUUGGCCAUAUGCCCCUCCUUGCCACACUUGUAGCAAGAUCCAUCUCUACAAACUCCAUCAUGACCCUUGCCGCACUUUCCACAAGUGCGGCCCUUCUGGCUCCUCGCUCUGGAAUCAGCAGGCUUGGCCUGCUUGGCUGUCGGCUGGAACUGUGCCGGUCCCCGAUCCCUCCCCUGAGACUCCGCCUCCUCCUUAGCAUGAGUCUCUAGCUCGAUCUCCCUCUUCCGGGCAUUUUCCUAAAGCUCCGCAAAUGUCCGGUACGAGGAGUUCGCGACGAAAUCCCGAAUAUCUCUCCUUAAAAUACUCAAAUAACGGCUCAUAUGUGCCUGCUCAGUAGACACGUGCUCAGGGCAGAACAUCACCCUCUCGUGAAACAUCCUAGUAAUAACCGUAACAGACUCCGUGCCCUGCUUGAGGAUCAAAAAAUCAUGUGCCAACUGAUCCCGUUCCACCGAGGGAACAUACUCAUCACGAAACAUGGCGGUGAACCUCUCCCAGGUCACCGCAGCAAGCUCUGCUGGAGAGUAGUGUGCUGUCGCGAACUUCCACCAGUCCUUCGCCCCUAGGCGAAGCUGGUUCAGCGCAAACCGAACGUUCAAGUUCUCCGGGCACGAGCAUGUAUAGAAACACCCCUCAAUAUCAGAUACCCAUCUCAUCGCUGCAAUCGGAUCCUGCGUCCCAUCAAACUCUGGUGGCUUCGUGUUGCUGAACUCCCUGAACAACAACGAGUCACCCCCUUGCGGCCUAACAGCAGCGACGGCUGCGGUGGCCGCUGCAACAGCAGCCUCAGAAAGAGCGGCAUAACGCUCGUCAAAAGUCUCAAUCAGCGUGGUCUUAAUAGACCCGAACAUCUCUGGUAUCUCUGGCCUGAUGGCCGCAGCCACCUCCUCAUGGAUGAUCCGACAGAUCUCCUCAUCACUAGUCUCGCUGCUCUCUGGCGCAUGACGUGUCCUCACCAUGAUCUACCUCUGAAAUACAACAUACGAUAUAUUAGAAACUCACUCGAGCAUACUCGCACUCGAUAACUCAUCCCUCCUUGAUCCCUGGCAUUCCGAAGAUUCUUACUUGAACUGUACACCAUCCCGGUGUUUUCAGUAGUACAGGCCCAAUACUACCGUCCACACCGCAUCAGUAUACACCCCAAGUCCUCCUCCUAGGAUCCCAAGUCCCAAGUACUCUAUUAUGCAUAAUCCACUCUCUAACAGAUCUCUCAUAAGCUCCUCACUGCUACCUACUCACUCUCAAGCAUCUCAUAGCAGCUCACCUCCCCCUAGGCUAAGGCAUCACAAAUCAGGCCACUCUAGUCCUAAUAGGAAUACCUAGCCCACUCUAGCACGAGAAUACAUCAUAUCAAUCUCAUAAGCAUAUAACAUAAGGGUAUUUUGGGAAAUCACCGUUCGGGCGCUGACUGAUCGUACACACGACUCUGCUCUGCGUUUUCCAAAAAUCUUUUACUCUUUUUAGAAAACUUGGUUCUCUUUUGAAAAUAUUUCUCAAAUCCUCAGUUUGAGUUCAAAUACGCCCGAAGGUGUACUCGAAUCCCUCAAACCAAGGCUCUGAUACCAACUUGUAACACCGUAAAUUUCAAAACAAUUUUUCGCAUCUUAUAAAAACAUAAUUCAUUCAUUAUUUAUAAAAGCAUCAUUGUUUAAAACUCAAUUCAUAACAUAUAUCAAUCCCAAGAUCUCAUAACAUAAAAAUCCCGUGUGUGUACUGAUCAAGUCGGCGCCUUUCCGCGAUCCUCACUAGUACCUGAAACACAUAACACGAAACACUAUAAGCACAAAGCUUAGUGAGUUCCCCAAAAUACCAUAUAUAACACAUACUAGCCACUCGAGGCUAUAACUCUUUGGGUCCGUGCACCUAAACUCUGUGAACCCUCAGGUUCUAUCUCUGUGAACCUUCCGGUUCUAACUCUGUAAACAUGCACAACAUAAAACACAUAGAAUAAUGCGGUGCAACACAUAACACAUAUAUAGCAUACGAACACUGUAUCACAUAACUCAGAUUACCUACUCAAGGUAAAGUAUAGUGAGAAGACUCACCUCGGAUAUCUCAGUAAAUCUCUGACUCGGUAAACUCCGGUCUAGCCCGUGCCUAAUCACAUGAAAUAAAUACUCUAAUUAAUACAACCCUCAGGGCUAGGCUAAUAUCUCUCUCUCUAUAUAUACAUCCUACAAGAAGGGUAGAAGACUAUCCUACCCUUCUGAUGACUCUAAGGUCCAAACAUUGAACAACCCUAAAAGUCAACGAAGUCAAUGGUCAACCUUAACCAAACUCGCCGAGUGCACAACUAUGACUCGGCGAGUCCACACGUUUUCUUCACUCUCCUAGUCCCCCUUCGACUUACUGAGUCAACCCUCAACUCUGCAAAUCAUCACAGAUCACAAUCUGCGAAAUGUCCCGACCCAACUAGCCGAGUCCGGCUCAUGACUUGGAGAGUACCAUCGUGCACUCUGCCCUGUAGAUUCCCUCUGACUCACCAAGUCGCUUCACCAACUCAGUGAGUCACCAACUGUGUGAUUAUCAGGAAAACCCUCGUCCUACUCACAUAGUCGGCUAUUGGACUCCGCGAGUUCAUGCCAUGCUCAAGCUAAAUUGACCUCCUGAGGUCAGAUCCACUCCUCUAAACCAUAGAUCCAGCUUCCCAAAGCAUUAUAAUCACGUAAAGCUAACAUCUUGGUGCUCAUGCAAAGGCUCAAAGGCCUUAUUUGAAGAUAUGACCUCUAAAAUGACAUCCAAAGCUCAUAACCCCCAUUAACACUCAUAAAGCUCAAGGGAAAAGGGCCUCUGGACCUCUUUGGGUCCAGAUCUACAGCACCAACAUGAGAGCGGACCAAUUACUCCAUAUAACCAUCCUCUAAAGGGGCUAAAACCAUAAACUGAAGAAGGGUCGAAUGAAUACCUCAAAAUGAAGUCUCUGAGCCCUGGAAUCACUAGAUUAGCACCCUCUUCAGCCUCCUCUUGUCUUGGUCCUCUUCUAUUUGCAAAAACACUAGCAAUGAUCAAGAAAUGGCUCCUUUCCUCUCACAAACGCUCUAGCUCACUUAGGGUUUCUCUCUGGGGUCUGGUAGCCGCAAAUGACGGCCAUAAAGCCCCUUAAAUAGGCCCCAAACUCGAGGAAUUAGGGUUUCAUUAAACAGCGUGGACUCGCCGAGUCCAUGGGGCGACUCGCCGAGACCAGCCAUCCACCCGGAUAAUGAUUCGCGUCUCUACUCGGCGAGUCUACGCAUCAACUCGCCGAGUUCUUCCACAAAACUUGAAAUUCAACGAAUAAAUAUAAUACCUGAAAUUUCGGAUGUUACAUUAAUUUUGUAUGUGACUGUGAGCCUAUCACAUUAUUAGAAAAAGCAUGUAAAAACAAUAGACUAAUGACCGAAACUAUCUGACACUUACUAGCGACGUUACUUUUUAAAACAAAAGAUAGCCAGAAAUUGCAUCCAUAUAGGCGUUUAGUGGAGAUUAUCGAUGUCAAACUAUGUUUUGGCUUAUCACUAGUUUUUUGCUAUUAGUGAUGGAAUCGAAAAGCAAGGGACUAUCCUAUCACUUUUAGAUCGCUAAAUAAGAUAUAUUUCGCUUCGGUCGCAAAGAUUUUCAAGGUAGUCCUUUUCUACCUUAAGCUCAUGACACUUGUAAUUUUUUCAUUGACGCUUCUAAACUCCAACUGAGCCAACUUUUCUUGAACUGGCAAAGGAAUUACAGGCUUAAACAAUUCCUUAUUGAAAUAAUGAGUUUUCCACACCAAGAGGAAUGGGGAUUAUCUCUUAUAUAUAUAAUAAAUAAAGAUACAUAUACACCCCUCAAGUAUACAACAAUGAAUAAAAGACUAUACCAAUAAAGAGCUAAUGUAAUAUCCCCCCUAAAGUGAAAGGAGGUGGACCAAGACGAAGCAUGCGACGAAACUGAUCAAACUGUGGCCGAGGUAGACUCUUAGUGAAGAUGUCAUCGACUUGAAGCUUGGUAGGAACAAACAUAGUGACCAGUUUACCUGAAGCAACAACCUCACGAACAAAAUGAUAGUCAAGAUCAAUAUGCUUAGCAUGAUUAUGAGCCACCCGGUUCUAGGUAAAGAAUAACGCACUUUGAUUAUCACAGAGAAGCGUGGGGAGAUCGGUGGGCAAGGCAUGUAGUUCCUGCGACAGAUGAGUGAUCCAAAUGAUCUUUGUAGACGUAUUAGUCAUGGCUCGAUAUUCGGACUCACAACUGGAGCGAGAGAUAGUAGGCUGCUUCUUCACACUACAGUACACAAGAUUACGCCCAGGGAAUAUCAAUUACCCAUAGGUGGAGCGGCGAGUCUCAAGGAAGCAAGCCCAAUCGACAUCAGAGUAGCUAACAAUCUUGACAGUCGGAGGACAUGAGAAAGUGAGACCAAAUGAGAGGGUUCCCUUGACAUAGCAAAUAAGUCGUUCAACAACUUGAAAAUGAGCAAUCGUCGAGGCAGCAAUAAACUGGCUAACUUGAUUACCAGCGUAAGAAAUAUUCGGUCUCGUAACCGUCAAAUAUUGAAUUGCACCAACCAAGGACCGAUAGCGAGUCAGAUCCUCAUAAAGAGGACUACCACUAACAAGGGAGGUGUUGGUAGCAAGGGGGUAAGCAUGGGCUUGGCAUCGAGAAGACCGGUUCACGAGACGAUGUCGUGAGCAUACUUUUCUUGACUGAGAAACAAGCCUGUGGGAUGAUGAGUAGCCUCAAGCCCAAGAAAGUAGUUCAAACGCCCGAGACCCUUAAUUCGAAAUUCUGCAUGCAGCCAAGCAAUGAAUGACAACACAAUAACAUCACCCAAGCUAGUGACAAUCAAAUCAUCAACAUACACUAACAAAUACAAGAUACACGAGUCCCGAUGAAACACGAAAAGAGAGGAAUCUGCACGACUCCAGGAAAAACCAUGAUGCACUAAAAACGAACUAAGUCGAUGAAACUACACAGUGGGGCCUGAUUAAGACCAUAAAUAGCUUUAUUGAGCUUACAAACAUAAUCAGGAUGACGGGCAUUCGCAAAACCUGGGGGUUGAUUCAUAAAGACAGUGUCACCCAAAUGGCAGUGGAGAAAGGUGUUAUUCAUGUCAAGUUGACGCAAAUGCUACCCGUUAACAAUCGCAAGAGUAAGAACAAUACGAACAGUAGCCACCUUGACAAAAGGACUGAAGGCGUGAGAAAAGUCAAGGUCCGAAACUUGACUGAACCCUUGAGCAACGAGAUGAGCCUUGUGACAUUCCACAGUCCCAUUGGCCCGAGAUUUGGUGCGAAAAAACCACCUGCAACCUACAAUAUUAGCCUGGGUAGGACGAGUAACAAGAGUCUAUGUCUGAUUAUGAUUAAAAGCCGCCAUCUCGGAACACAUCACUUCACACCAUUUAGGAUCACGUAAAGUGUUAUCAUAGGAUGAGGGAAUAUUAGUAGAAAAGACCUGUGAAAAAAAGCCAUGAGAAGUUAAAUGUGCCAAAUCAGUACAGUAUCGUGGCUUAAAAGUCUUGGCUUUAGCGUGUGUGGUCAUCGGAUGCGAAGGCGGGGGCAGACGGGAGGCCGGAGGCGUAUUGGGCUCGAAAUUAGACUCGAAGGCGGUGUCAGAAGCAGAACCAAUGGUUGGUUCCGAGUCAUACCCAAAAGGCGACUCGGACUCGGGUCCCGGUGAAGUAACAGCAACAGACUCAGAUGCAGGAGUCGCUACUGAGAGAGCUGGCGGAUCCGACUCCAUGCACACAAUACAAGGAGGAGGAGCAGCGAGUCCUGGGGUACUUGGAGAGGCCGGGACAGUGUCAUCAGGGACUGGAAUGGGGGGAGCUGAUCAACAAGAAAUGUGUGCAAGGGUAAGGACCCAAUAGGAGCAUUUGUGUGGGUGUCACGAAACAUGAAGCACUCUUCAUCAAACUAAGCAUGAGGGGUAACAAAAACCCGUGUCGAAACUGGAUCGAGACAUAAGUAGCCUUUAUAUUAAGAGUGAUAACCCAUAAAAACACAAGGUAUGCUCUGCGGAGAAAGUUUAUGAUCCGCAUAGUCAUAGAAAUAUGGAUAGACCUGACACCCAAAAAUGCAAAAAUUCUCAUAAGAUGGCACCCGUCCAAACAAGACCUCAAAUGAGGAUUUCAUGGACAACACCUCAUGGGGAGACGAUUAAUUACAUGCACGGCAGUGCUAAAAGCAUGAGCCCAAUAAGAAAUAAUUGGAAUGUGAGCGUGAAACAUCAUGGUGAGGCCUGUCUCCACAAUGUGACGAUCUUUGUGUUCAACCCGCUCGUUUUGUUGGGGGUAUAUGUGCAUGUGAUGCGAUGAAAUAUACCAUGUUUAUGUAAUAACGCCUUUACUUUAUUAUUUAGAAAUUCCGUACCCCUAUCACUUUGAAAACCUUUAAUUUUGGUAGAGAAUUGAGUCUCUAGAAAGGCGAUAGAUAUCUCGAAAAUGCUAAAAAAAUCCGAUUUAGACUUGAGCGGGUAAAGCCAUGUAAAGCGGGAGAAAUCGUCCAUAAAGGUGACAUAAUAUCGGUAUGAUGCAACCGAAUCAACCGGGGAGGGACCCCAAAUAUCACAAUAGAUCAAAUCUAAAACAUGGCCGGCACGUUGGUCAUUAUUGCCAAAAGGUACCUGAUGAGCCUUAGCAAGUUGGCAAGCAGAACAAAUAACCAGUUUAGGUAAAAUAAAAGAAACCAACACUUGAUCAAGUUUAUUAAUAUAGAAAUAACAUCAAAAGACACAUGCCCUAAACGUGAGUGCCAUAAUUGAAAAGACGCCUUGGGUCGCUUCUUAGCAAAAAAAAAAAGCACUAGCCACCGGUUUAUUUGGAACAACAUAAAGCCCCCGAUCACACAUUCCUUGAGCCAGAACUUAUUUCGUUGCCCGAUCCUAAAUGUAAAACAAAUAGUUGGAGAAAAGCACAUCUAGGUUAUUCUCAUAUGUUAACUUGCUAAUAGACAAUAAUUUUUUAGUAAGACGAGGGACCACCAAAACAUCCCGCAAUCGAAUACCGUUGGGAAGAGAGGAAGUCCUAAUAGCAGUAAUGGGAAGAGUAUUACCAUUACCGAAAUGAACUGAGCCAUCACCAACAAAAGUUUGGGGUUUAGUGACCGAGCACGAAGAAGAAAACAUGUGGUCCGAGGGACCGAAAUCAACAUACCAAUAUGGGCCAGGUGGGGUCACACAACAAUUUGCAAAGUGGGGUCACACAACAAUUUGCAAAGAAGGCUUUGGCUAAAUUGGCUUAACUAGGAGCGGACUUAGAAGCAAAUGUCGGAAGUUGUGGACAAGCAUUAGCAAAAUGACAGUUUUGUCGGCAUAGUUGGCAAUGGGGUGGCCGGUGGCCACGACCAUGACCACCACAAGGACCACCACGGCCAUCGGAGUCACCACCCCAACCCUGACUAGCAGAAACCGAGGCAGCAGCCCAGAUGGGCGCUGAUUCAGCAGUAAAGCCGACGGUGGGUGCGGAGUUCACGUAGAUGGAUUUCAUGAAGAGCUUAUGACCUUCGGUUUGAGCAAGGGGGUCCCAAAAAGUGUGAGUGAGCUGAGAGGUCCGAACUCCAAUGGAAAAAGCCUAAAAAGCGCCGCCAAGGCCACAUAAGAUAUCAUGAUUUUUAUUAGAUUUGUCAACGGCUUGGCCGAUAGCCGCAAGUUGAUCACAAAUCGCCUUAAAUUUCUGUCCAUAUUCGAAGACGGUAGAGGUGCCUUUAGAAAGAAGUCGAAGUUGAUCACAAAGAUUUUGUACCAGUUCCAUGGAAGAGUUUCAUAGGCUAAUUCAAAAGCGGUCCAUAUAGCACGAACGGAAGAGAGUCCCACGACCUCAAAAAAUGCUUCUUCCGUGAGGGAGACUUGAAGAAGGAUAACGACCCAUUGAUCCGUGACAUGCCAUUCCACAAAAGCAGGGUUCUCAACCUACUUUUCCUCAACCAAAUGGUAGGAAGGAGGGGUUGCAGAGGAGUCAUCAACGUGAGCAAGGAGAUGUUGAUAGGUGAGGAGGGGAAGGGAGGGGNUAUAUAUACCCUCAAGUAUACAACAAUGAAUAAAAGACUAUACAAAUAAAGAGCUAGUCUAAUACUUAUAAACUAUCCCAUUCACAAGUCGAAGCAUGUGAUCUGUGUCUGUCCUCUCGAUGGCCUCUAGCUCUUUGCUAUAUACAUUGGUUGUUUUCUUGAAUGGAAUUGUUGUUAAAAAAAACAAGUUGAAGCAUGUGAGAAUUGAACAUAAGACAACCAUUUGAAAUGCUUUUUUAUGCUUUUUUUUCAUGUCAUUUUGAAGUUGUGCACACUAAGGUGGAAUUUUAAGAAGCUAGAGAUGAGAUCCAGGUGAUGAUAAUAUCAAUUCUACAGCUUUUGUUACAAGAUAAGUGUUAUAACAUUUAUGUUGUUAAGACUAAAACCAUGAUUUAAUUUUAUAUCCGACAUUGUUUAUAUUAAUUAAUCUUAAAACUACGGAAUAAAAUGUGAAUAUUUAAUUUUGAUAAUUUUGAUUUUACUACAACAAUACCGACUAUCAACAAGAGACGAAUUAGUGAUGAAUGUAGCAUAAAUUCCCAUUAACCGAUUUUCAUAAGGAAUUUUUAUCGGAUUAGCGAUGAAAAUAUCAUUUUUAACGGUCUAAUUCUAUGAAGCGAUGAAGUUUUUGUGUAAAUUGGCUAUAUUUUUACAUAAAUUGUGAUUAUAUAUUGUCAAAAUUAUAAAAAUAUUGGUAAUAGUUAUUUAAGUUUCUUUAUUAAUAUAAAUAUAAAGUGGUUUGAAAAUGGUAAUGAAACAUUGAAAGUUAAUACGAUUUGGUAAGACAUUAUCCCUUAAGUUGGAGAAAUCAUGCUGGUAAUGGUAAUAGCAGCGACUUUUUCGACUUUUAGCGGCGACAAAAUGUCGCCGGUAUUGGUUUUGUGCGGAUAAAAGGACCAAUCGUUGGAUUAGAUACUCGAUUGAACAGCUAGGUCUAUCAGAAAGGGAUAAUGCGAAUUCGGGUGAAAAGUCUUUAGUGGCGACACAAUUACAGGCGACAUAGGAUUUUAGCGGCGACUCUACCAUUUGUCGCCUCUAAAAGCUUGUGUCACCGGUAAUUGUGUCAUCACUAAAGGCUUGGUUCUUGUAGUGACUUUGGCCGAAAAUCAACCAUAUACACGAUUAACAAAGUUUUCCCUAUCACUAACAUCAAAAGUUGCAUACCUCUUCUCCUCGGUCUUGAUCGAUUCAACUAUAAUGCAUUGUGAGAGCUUUUGCAUCACCCAUUGUAUUGUUUUCUAUGCUCUUAAUCACAUUGACGAAACCUACUAAGGAGUGACUCCUAAGCCUAUCAAUACAGAUUGGUGGAAGACAGACUCCAUUGAGAAACUUAGGAGGUAUGGGUGGAUAUCACCUGUUUGCUUCAGAUGGUGGUCACAAAAUAUUGUUUGGCCAUGGACAUGAGGAUCGACCUUCAAAACCUUUUUAUUUUUAACAAAUAAGCAAAGGAAAUCUAUGUCGAUAACAACUUGCAUAUUAUAACCACGUUAGACCUCAACGUGAACAACUACUUCUCUGAGAUCAUGACUACUUCCUUGAACACAUCGAUGAAAAGUUAAAUGUCGUCCCCAGUGCUCAGUUCAGAUGUAGUCUCUUCGCAUGACAAGUCCUGAUGAAAAAACUCGAGUUCUUGGAUCCUUCAUUACAAGCGUCUAAUUUGUAUGUCAUGUGUAUUGUGUAGAUCGGCUCUGCCAUUCUGUGGACUGCGUCCAUCACUGCAGUGAUUCCCAACACCACGAGCUUCUCCACACUGACAAACCAUUUGUUAAGUCAUUCUUAGGUUUUCUGUGAUACCAAAUGAUGCCUAGACGGUCAGAUUGAAUGGUAAAUUACAACUAACAAGAACACAAAGAACAAAAAGAUGACUCAAAAACUAAAUUCUUAAUUUGAUAAUAAAAAAAUUGUCUAAUAUAAAAUGAAAAUUAAAUACUUAUAAAGAGGAGAAGAUAAGAUUCGUUCCUUAACCCAUGAUAAGGAUAAGAUUCCCAAUCAAUUAUCUAAAUCAAAUCUCAAAAUAUAAAGUUGUAAAAAACAAAAAAAUGUGUUUUUGAGGCUCUAAAUGAUCCUGAAUGGCUAAAAAACACCACACAUCAUGGCAAAGCAAAAGAGUUAUCUUAAAUUUUAUCCAAUUCCGAAUUGUCAGAUCACUUUGGUAGAUUUUUCGUUGAUAUUAUCUUACUUCCAUUCCUACUAGUGUUGACAUCAUCAAGUCAUGCAUCAGCACUUGUACGCCUACAUGUCACACCUCCCUCGGCCAACGGCGUAAGCGCCGACGAUUGAUGGUUGUACAUAGAUUACCCAAAUCACAGAGUGCACACUAUAAAUACCUUUUAUUAAAUAAUGAUCUCUAUUACAUGGGAAAAAUAAAAACAUGUCCAUCUUCAAGCUGCUUGUCUUUCAUUGCGAUGAUUUCUUCUAUUUCUUAGGAAUACAUGCAAUUUCAAAAACGUCAACUUGAUGUUGGUGAGUUUAUAGGUUUAAUAGAUAUUGAUAAAGCAAUUUUUGAAAACUUUUUUGGAUCUUUAUUUAUGAAUAAGAGUAUUUUCUAAUUUAUAAGUUCCUAGGUUUUUUUUUUUUUUUUUUUAUUUUUUUUUAUUUCAGAGCUUCAUAAUCCUUUUAUUUCUUAAAACUUAUCUUUUGAGAUGUAUAAUCAAUCCUAAUGUUAUAUAUAUCUUUCUUUUUAGGAUAUUUUACUAAUCUUAUCUGAUCAAUAUAUUUCUAGGAUAUUCUGUCAAUCCUAACAUAAAUAUUUUAUAGGAUAUUUUACCAAUCCUAAUUUAUUAUAAUAUGUUUUAGGAUAUUUACCAAUCCUAACUUAUCAAUAUAAUAUAAUAUUCACUAGUCGGAGGCGUCCGUCUAGGUAGUUGACUUCCUUAAGGUUUUUGGGUUGUAUUACCAUAAGCCUCCAUAAUCGACGUUGUGGACUAAUAUUUUCCCCGCACGACGAUUCAUGGGACGUCGAAUAAUGCUUGUAUAUAAAAAAAGUUAUCAUGUCGGGAUUGUAGUUCGCAUGUUGGGGAGUCAUCCCCGUAUACAUCUAUGCAUAUCUUUCCGGCUCUCACAAAAUUAAUGAUUAUAUGUUGGGGGUAGCCGAAUUUAACCACGCUAAGAAUGAAUAUUAUAAGCUCACUAACAUAUUAACCUUAGGUGUUUUUAUGCUUUCGUUAACUAUUUUAUAAAAUCUUUAAUUAUCGGUAUAUAAUCUUUUUACUUUAUAUAUGAUAAUUAAAAUCCAUAUCUCAUAAUUAUCUUUGUAUACAUAUAUUUUCUUUUACCAUAUAUAUAUACCCUAAUUAUGAUUAAUUUAAGCAACAAGAUAUUCGGGCAGAGUAACAAUUAAGUACAAUGCAUAUCCAUUUAAUUGACCAACAUUACUUCUAGAUACUAUGUUAUCCUAGGAAAUUGGCCAGGAUAACAUCUAGGUAAAAUAUUUUCCUCGAAAAUCAGACAUCAUGACUUUUAGACAAAAUAUCAUAGCUUACANNNNNNNNNNNNNNNNNNNNNNNNNNNNNNNNNNNNNNNNNNNNNNNNNNNNNNNNNNNNNNNNNNNNNNNNNNNNNNNNNNNNNNNNNNNNNNNNNNNNAGAAAUGAAAGUGCAUUGCUAUUAUCAAUAAAGAUAUGUAUCACAUAUUGCUAUUGUUGGUAAAAAUGAAGUACUCUAUUUAUAAUAAAUAUAUCUAUCAUGUUGCAAGAACAUUAUUUAUGUUUCAGAAAAGUGCUUGAAAUCUGGAACUUCAACACGGUUGAGUUUAAGGCAAAGGAAUCACUCUCCCUCCCUUUGGAGUACCCUCAAAAAAUGACAAAAUAAUAAUAUAAAAGUAGGUCAAAUUCUUUUAAUCAAAUAAUAUAUACAUGCUCGAAGAGUUCCAUAAAGAUCAUAUGGCUUUUAUUCCUUCUUUAAAUGACACCUCUUGCAAUUUUAAUGAUACAUGUGGACGUUAUUUCAAUUUUAAGAAUUUAAUGCAUGGGUAAAUUCAAGAAAAAAUAAUAAACUUUCAUUGAUUUAUGUAUUAUAUUGCCUUACAUUCAUUCUUUCUAUUACAGCGUUGCACCUGAGCACCUCUAUCAUUUGUUUUUAAGGCUAUAUAAAAUAAUCUACGAAAUUAGAGCAUUAUACUUUCGGUUACUUUUCUUAUUCACGUUUCUUAUUUAGACAUUAUAUUGACACUCGGCCAAUGGAAAAUGAUUCUCAUAGUAACUAAUUAAUUCCUUAUUACAAAGAGUACAUCUGGUUAAUUCAAAAAUAGCAAUGUAUUUGAGUUGGUUUGAUUAUCAUAGCAUCCUACUUUUGUUUUUUCUUAUUACACCAUUCAACUUUGAAAGUACGACGCUAUAGUUGGGUAGAUUUUUCAAAAGACAACAUCUUGAUAUAAAUGGAAUUACAAUGACACAUAAAACUUGACAAUAUAAAGUGAUACUCACAAUUUGAGGUCCAUGCCAUCAAGAUCAACAUUUAAGCUAUGAAAUACCACAACGAAUAUUAACAUUUUUCAAUUAUCGAAACAAAAUGAGUUGGCAUUUCUAAGGUGUACUAGCCAUAUAUGAUUAUGGUGGUUGGUGACAGAAAAGGUAGUCAUGGCAGAGGUGAUGGAGAUGGUAGUCCUGAAGUCGGUUGAUGGUGAAGGUGGUAGUGGUGGUGAUGGGUGGUGGCUGGUGUGUUGGUUGGGAAGGUGGUGUGGGAGAAUGGAGGUGGUGGCAUUGCAUAAUCAUAUAUGAAUAUACCUAUCCCGUCAANNNNNNNNNNNNNNNNNNNNNNNNNNNNNNNNNNNNNNNNNNNNNNNNNNNNNNNNNNNNNNNNNNNNNNNNNNNNNNNNNNNNNNNNNNNNNNNNNNNNNNNNNNNNNNNNNNNNNNNNNNNNNNNNNNNNNNNNNNNNNNNNNNNNNNNNNNNNNNNNNNNNNNNNNNNNNNNNNNNNNNNNNNNNNNNNNNNNNNNNNNNNNNNNNNNNNNNNNNNNNNNNNNNNNNNNNNNNNNNNNNNNNNNNNNNNNNNNNNNNNNNNNNNNNNNNNNNNNNNNNNNNNNNNNNNNNNNNNNNNNNNNNNNNNNNNNNNNNNNNNNNNNNNNNNNNNNNNNNNNNNNNNNNNNNNNNNNNNNNNNNNNNNNNNNNNNNNNNNNNNNNNNNNNNNNNNNNNNNNNNNNNNNNNNNNNNNNNNNNNNNNNNNNNNNNNNNNNNNNNNNNNNNNNNNNNNNNNNNNNNNNNNNNNNNNNNNNNNNNNNNNNNNNNNNNNNNACAGAGAAUAUAUAUAUAUAUAUAUAUAUAUAUAUAUAUAUAUAUAUAUAUAUAUAUAUAUAUAGGGAGAGAAAGAGAGAGAGGUUUCAUGUAUUCUAACUAUCUAUCAUAUGGACGUAAGAACCAAUCAAAUUUUAAGAAAAAUUAAACUAAUAAUCUAAGGGUAUAAUGGUAAUUUUAAUUAUAAUCUAAGGGUAUUCACUUAUGACAAAUAUCAUCGCUGUUUUUCACAUAUAAAACACAUCGGGUCGAUUGUUUAACCCCAUGCCAUCUCUUUCUCGAUCCUAACACACCCACAAUCGUGUGAGUUUGUCCCCUUCGCCAACUUCAUCACAGUUGCUGAAACCCUAAGUUGUCAACGGAAACUAAUGCCAUCAUACCAUCUCUAUCAAAAGCUCCAUCAAACUUCGCAACCAUGAUCAAAUAGUUGUUGUCGUUUUCGCCUGCUAACAUCCUCUUCACUGCUAACAUCCUCAUCACAGUCGUUGAUGGAACCCUAAGCUUCGGGUUUGUCUUUUUCCAUUUUAGUUUUUUUUUUAUUAUCAUCUUCAGUUUCAUCCCACCUUAAUCGGAAACUAAGAUUCAAGUUCAUCUGAUGAAAAUUCUAUUAUAUGUAGAAAUCCAAAAAUUGUGUGCCAUAAGUAGGAGAUACAAUUGUUAUGGGAUCAAUUGAUUAUGGUUUUUUUCCAUUGUUAUUUUUUUAUUUGAAAAGAAAAGGGAUUAUUACAAAAAAAAUUAAAAAUAUUUUUUAAGAUUUUUAUUCUUUUGAUUUUAGUUCUUACUUGUAUUUUAAGUUCAUUAGAAUAAAACUGUAAACAGAUUCUAAAAAAAUAUAUAUUAACAUUUUACUAUUAUAAUAUUAUGUUGUUCGUCUCAUUAUGGGAGAAUAAUCAAAGAAUUAUCUCAUAUUCCUUUUUACUCGACAAAACCACAAGCUUUCAAGAUACACGAUUCUUUACUAGUAUAUGGUUGUCAUUCUCACAGAACAUCAUUCUAACAGAAUAAAAUCAGUUAUGUUUACAAAUUACGUUAGAAUUGUAAUUGAACUAAUUUUUAAAUAGCUGUUUUGUAAUUUAAUAGAAUUACUUAUCCCCUAAAAUCCAGAAAAUAGGUAUGUGACUUUUGAUGUUAGUGAUAUGGAAAACUUUGUUAAUCGUGUAUAUGGUUGAUUUUCGGCCAUAGUCACUACAAGAAACCAAGCCUUUAUCGGCGACACAAUUACUGGCGACACAAAGCUUUUAGCGGCGACAAAUGGUAGAGUCGCCGCUAAAAGACUAUGUCGUCGGUAAUUGUGUCGUCGCUAAACACUUUUUACCCGAAUCCAAGUUAUCCACUUCUGAUAGACCUCGGCUGUUCGAUCGAGUAUCUAAUCCAACGAUUGGGCCUUUUAUCCGCACAAAACCAAUACCGGCGACAUUUUGUUGCCGCUAAAAGUCGAAAAAGUCGCUGCUAGUAGUGGUCUAAAAAAAGAUGCGGUACCCUUCCCUCCAGAUAGUCGCCGCUGUUAACGUGUGUCACCGGUAAAGCCUACAUAGUCGCCGCUCAGUAACGGAGCUUGAACAUUCGAGUUGGGGGGCCAAAAGUAAAAUACGUAGAAAAAGUGGAGAAUAAGGGGGGCCACAGUCAAUUUUUUUAGUUUAAGGUCUAAUAUGUAAAAAUUUUAAAAGUAAAGGGACUAGCUCUGAAAAAAAAAACAGGGGGGGGGGGGGGGGGGCACAACCCNCCCAUGUCCUAAUGAAGAUCCGUCUAUGUCGCCGCUGAAGGCUAUCGCAGAUAAAAAAAAAAAACGGAUGCAUUCUGCUCUUUUGCUUCCUGUGUUCGAUCAAAACGUUACUGCUCCUUCUUGCCCCAUUUUCUGCGAUCGAUUCCAGCGAUUCUAACAAGAAAUCUCCCCACGUUGUGAGAUUAGGGAUCAAAGGUGUUUAGGGUUUCAAUUAAACGGGUUAACUCAUGAUUUCUAGCUCCAUCUCGGGAAAAAAGGUAACUUGAAGUUCUUAUAUCUCUUUGUUUUUCUAUGUUAACUUCGAUUUCUAGCUCGAUGAUUAAUUGCAAAUUAUUUUUCAAUUUUAGUGGUUUUGGUGGUUUUGUCUUUGGGUUGACGGGUGAGGGUGUUUUCCGGUCAAGACCAAUUUUUCCGGCGACACUAUUACCGGCAACCAAAAUCGUUGAUUAAAAAAAAAUUAUUAAAAAAUGAAAAUUGUUAUUACCGGCGACACUAUUACCGGCGACUUCAUCAUUACCGACAGCUAUGUCAUUAGCAGCGACUGUAGUCUUUAGCAGCAACAUACUCAUUAGCGGCGACAAUUCUCUUUAGCGGCGACAAGUUGAUUAAUAGCGACGAAGUAGUAGCAGCGAUUUAUUACCGGCGGCGUGUCGCCGCUAUUAUCAUUACCGGCGACAAUGAGACCCUUUAGCGGCGACUUUUGUCGCCGCUAAUUGCCUUUUUCCUUGUAGUGAGUCUUGACCUUAGAGAAGUAAUUGUUCAUGUUGAGGUCUCCCAUGGUGAUAACAUGGAACUCGUUAUCGGCUUGAGUUUCCUUCACUUCUUUUUUAAAGAAAAAAAGGUUUUGAAGGCCGAUCCACAUGUCUCUGGCCAAACAAUCAUUUGUGAGCAACAUUUGAAGCAAAACGGGUGAUAUCGAGGUCGAGGAUAAGAGGUAUGCAACUUUUGAUGUUAGUGAUCUGGAACACUUUGGUGAUCGUGUUUGUGGUUGAUUUUCAGUUAUGGUGGCCGAGGGGCAGAGGACAUUCAAAUAGAAUAGGUCAAAAGGAGAUUAGGUAAAAAAAAGAUUAUAUAGGAAGGAAAUAUGGAUAAGAUACGCUCUGAUACCUUGUUAAUCUUGUAAUCUGAUUGCCAAGAAUAAUACAAACAUUUAUACAAAAUACAAACAAGGGAAAGAGGUUGUACGUUAAACAAAAACGAUGGGUUCUAGGAGAGCCCAAUACAACUAUACAUACAUAUACUCUAACACAUAAAGGUCUUCCAAAGACCAAUAAGGAGGCAUUCCUAUCUUUACAUACCAAACUUGAUUUUACUAGAAUUUCGUCAUCUAUUCCACCAAGCUUAUGAACCAGUUGUUCCAAGUCUUGAACACAUUCCUAUUUUAGUUUAAUUCAUGUUCUUUACAUUAAAGUUCUAGCAUAACAAAUAUACGCCUUAUAUACGAAAUUGACACAUCAUGUUCCUUAAGCCACUAUGAACUCAUACAUAUUUUUCAACAAGUCGGACGAUUUAACUUCGCCCAGAACACAUAUUUCACUUAAUUUUUUGUCGGAGUAUGUGUGGUUGUUAAUCAUCGGCAUGAGUUUCUUUGAAGCUCCGCCCUUGCCCUAAACAUCAUUGUCACUAUGUUUUUUUAUAGUUUCUUUUAAGCCCGUCGGCAUCAGUCACCCCUCCUUCCUUUCUUUCAUCAUCAUGACGCUUCUCGAAUUUUUAGGCUUUAUAAUGAUACUUUUCAAAUUCUUAUCAACCCUCCCAUCAUUUAAGUUACUUUUAUACAUUUACGCGAAACUUGAAGGAUCCCAACCAAAUGGCAUUCAACUUCUCUUCAAACAUCAUGAUCUUGCUCAACCCCAUGAAUCUCACGAAGCCGAUUUUUUUUAAUAAAAUUAUUUUCCUUGUUAUGAAAACAUCAACGAUGUUCCCAAUCCCUCUAAAAAGUUUUCCACAAGAUGAAUUUUGUGCAAUCUUCGGGAAAGUUUGUGAAGAAGAAGGUAACUAGUUUGUUUCUAAUGGAAUCAUUGAUCACGAUUGGGAGCCUACAUGAGACUCGUACUCCACCGACGUUUCAUUAUUUUACAACAUUUAAAUGCAUACGUUACUAUUAUUUUUCUUACGAGACUUCAUAAAUUUUUAUUUUUAAAUACAUUCUAAAAGGAAAAUUUAGUGAUUGAUAUGUUUAAUGCAUCAUUUUUUUUUUUGUGAUUGAUAUGUUUAAUGCAUCAUUUCUUUUUUCAAUAUCAUCCUUUGAUUUUGACAUUUAUCAUGAUUUAGUGAGUAUGAGGAUAAAUAAGAGAAUUGAGUACGUAUGAAAAUAUUGAACAUCUGAUUCUAAAAUAGUAAAUAAGUUUUCAUUUAUCACAUAGACACAAAGUUUAUUUAUUCUCAUUCAUUUUUUACAACUUUCGUACUUAAAAUGCUUAAGUGAUAAUGUCUUACCAAAUCUUAUUAACUUUCAAUGUUUUAUUACCAUUUUCAAACCACUUUAUGUCAAUAUUAAUAAAGAACCUUCAAUAACUAUUACCAAUGUUUUUAUGCUACAUUCAUCACUAAUUCGUCUCUUUUUGAUAGUCGGUAUUGUUGUAGUAAAAUAAAAAUUAUCAAAAUUAAAUAUUCACAUUUUAUUUUGUAGUUUUAAGAUGUAAUUAAUAUCAACAAUGUGAGAUAUAAAAUUAAAUCAUGGUUUUCGUCUUAACAACAUAAAUGUUAUAACACUUAUCUUGUAACAAAAGCUGUAGAAUUGAAAUUAUCAUCGUCUGUAUCUCAUCUCUAAGCUUCUUAAAAUUCCACCUUAGUGUGCACAACUUCAAAACGACAUGAAAAAAAGCAUAAAAUAAAGCAUUUCAAAUGGUUGUCUUAUGUUCAAUUCUCACAUGCUUCAACUCGCUUUUUUUAACAACAAUUCCAUUCAAGAAAACAAGCAAUAUAUAUAGCAAAGAGCUAGAGGGAUCGAGAGGAGAGACACAGAUCACAUGCUUCAACUUGUGAAUGGGAUACUUUAUAAGUAUUAGACUAGCUCUUUAUUUGUAUAGUCUUUUAUUCNNNNNNNNNNNNNNNNNNNNNNNNNNNNNNNNNNNNNNNNNNNNNNNNNNNNNNNNNNNNNNNNNNNNNNNNNNNNNNNNNNNNNNNNNNNNNNNNNNNNAAUUUAUUGAUAGUUUUUGGAAGCCUCGGUUUUAAUUCAUCUUAUAUUACUUUUAAUUAUAUUUCGGAUGACAUUUAAUUCUUUCUCUUCAAGUAAUGUAUGGUAAAGGUGACAAAGAGGAUGGAUGCAGCAACAUCCGUUUAAUCAACACUUCAACACUUUUCUCCCGUUUCAUCAUUUAACUAAUUUUUUUAGAAGACUUCACAUUAAACCCUACUCUUAAACCAUAUUUGAACCAUCAACCUGUUAUUGAAAUUUCCCCAUUAACCUAUCUAUCCGGAUUCACAGAGUACAAUAUAUCUUUAUUUGUAAUAGGAUU
rnacentral:lncRNA from 1 species